rnacentral:lncRNA from 1 species
CCAAUCUCACCUCAAACCAUCAUGUCUCAUCCCUGUUGACUAGCAAUCCUAAGUUUCCCAAGGGCUUUUGAAGAAUUUUCCAUAUAGAAAUAUAUACUUCUAUAUAUUAUAUAGUAUUAUAGUUUCUGUGGUAAAGAAUAUUAAUCAUAUAAAUCUCCUAAACCAUAUGAUAAUGCCAAAGUCGUUUUCGAAUAGUAUGGUCUAAAAAAGAAGGCGAUUCAAGUAACACCAUCCUGCAGACUUGUCAAAACUGCCAAAACUGACUCCCUACCUCAUUCAGACCCCUCUCCCAACUUCUCCAUCUUCAUACAUAUAAAAAUCCAAACAACCCUUUUCCUUCAUCGAAUCCUUCUCUCUCUAUAUCUCUCUCUCAGGGCUGCCAGGUUCUCAUACAGAAUUGUCCCGACAUCAAAAUCCAUGGCUUCUUCAGCUUCUUGGUACUGUGCCCUUCUCCUUGUGUCUCUUAUUUUGUUGAGUUCUUCUGUGGAGUCAUCUCUUGGGGGUGAGCGCAUCAGAGGGAACCAGCUCGUGGACCGAGCUUGCGAUGAAGUUUACGUGGUCGGAGAAGGAGAAACCCUUCAUAUGAUCAGCGAUAAGUGUGGGGAUCCUUUCAUAGUGGAGCAGAAUCCUCAUAUUCAAGAUCCAGAUGAUGUGUUUCCUGGGCUUGUCAUCAAGAUUACUCCUUAUAAGUCUAGGAAGCUUUUGAGGUAGUUGAGUUUGAUUUUUCCUUUUCCCUUUGUUCUGUUUGGUUGCCGAGAACAUAGAGAAAAUUUUCUUUUCUUUUUCUCUAUUGGAGUCAUGUGUAUAUAUAUCCUUCUUUAUUGUAAUUUUUAAUGUUGGCACACCAACUACAUCUAUACGAUUAUGUUUGUAUUAUUUGAAUAAGCAAUAAUUCAAAAUUCUUGAUUAAAUUAUUAUUAUUUUAUUAAAUUUGAGAAUUUGUAAUUCUAAUGAUUAAAUUUUUAUAAUUUCGUUGGAAUGAUCCUUGACUCCCUUGGCAAGUGAAAGCAUUUCUUAUCUUGUUAAUGGUAUCGUAUCAUCAUGCAUAUGAAAGAAUCAACUAGAUGAAAGUAAAUCAUUAUAUUAUAUUAUAUAAAAUAUUAUUUAAUAUAAAAAAUAAAAAAUAAGAUAAAAAGUCAUUAUUGUGGGUUGAAACUUCACAUGUUUACUCAUUUUCUUACAUCACAUCUUAAAUCGUGAGUUCACGUAUUUAGUUGUUCCUUAUAAUAUUAAAUAGGGAUGACAAUAAGGCGGUUUUUCGGGUACCAAUCUUGCCUUGCCCCGCCCAUAGUGGGACAUGAUUCAAUUUUAAUAAAUGAGUUUGAGAUGGAUUUAAAAAUUUUUUUUUAAAACCCGGGACAGGUUCAGGUAUUGCUCUAUCUUGCCCCGCCCCAAUUAUAUAUAAAAUUAAUUUAAUUUAAAUUUUAUUUUAUUAUUUUUAAUAUAUAGAUAAUAAUAAAAUAUUUUUAAUAAAAUAAUUUAUAAAAAAUAUAGUAAUUUAAUUAUUUAUAAAAUAUAUUUAUUUUAAUGUAAUUAAAAAUUUUAAAAUUAAUUUUUUUUAAAAAAAGUUAAACGGGUGGGGCGGGUAUGGGAAUUUAUCAUACCCGCUCCGCUCCGUUUAAUUUUUUAAAUUGCAUGGGGAUGAGAAUUAUGUUGAAUAAACGGAGCGGGGUUGGGAUGGAGGCAACCCAUCCCAAACCCGCCUUGUUGCCAUCCCUAGUAUUAUAUUUGAAUGAAAUCCAAUUCCUUAAUCUUUUAGCAGUAUCGUAUUAUCAUGCAAGUCAAAGCUUAAAUACAUUUGAUUUUAAAGCCCCAGAUCUAAAAUGUUUAAGACAUUAGAUAUUUGACUAUAUUACCAAAAAAAAAAAAUUUAACUUAUUUUAUAGAUCCAUUGGGAUAACUUUUUUUUUUUAAUUAAAAAUUGAAAUUGAAGUUAAAAUUAUAAUUUUUAAAUAGUAUAAAUAUUUUAUUAGAAAUAAGAUAUCUUCCUAUAUAAAUAAAAAUAAAGUUUUUAUAAUUAGUCCCAUUUCAUUGACAUCUAUACUAAGCUAUUUUUCAAAUCAUAAUUUUUAUUUUUAUUUUUUGAUAAAAAUUAUCAAAACAAGCAUAAAAACUUUUACUUAAAGAGAGGUUUUUAAUACCUGAAAAUUAAGUCUAGAGAGGACCUAGGCCAUGGUCAAUUCCCAUCUCGACCCAAUAAGAAGGCCCAGUAUAUGUGGGCCCAACUUGUACCGACCUUGUCCUAAAUUGGAAGUUAAUGGACCGGUGGGCUGGACAUGUGGCCCAAAUGAUUUUUACUAAGUCCUAUAAAAUCUGUCUAUAAAAUUACCUAACUAACCCUAUGUUUCCCCUUGACUUCAAAAUCUUAUAAAUUAAUUUUGGUUAUAUCAUAAUAUCUUCAUAAAUAUUUUUUUUAUUUAAAUACAUCAUUAAAUAUUAUGAUAAAUCUUUUUAUUUUAUCAAAAUUUAAAUUAAAAAUGUAAUGGCCCCGUCAAUAACUAUAGAGGUGAAUUUGGUUAUGUACCACCAUUAUCUACUCAAGCUCAGCCUAUUCCCUGCCUUUGGUUACAUUCAAGAUAAAAGGUAUAGUUUAUAUAUUGUGAAUGUAAGAUUUUAUAUAUGAUAAUAAUAUAAAUAAUAUAAAUAUUAAUUCGGUUUUUGCCAUCCCUAGCCCAAAAUGAUAACAAAAGCACCAAAUAACAAAAUUUAUUCAAAUGACCAACUUUCAAUCAACCCAAACCUCCUUAAAUUCAUAAUACUCAAGGCCUAAAAUGUCACAAAAUCUUAUUUUAUCCCUUUAUAUAUAUAUAUAUAUAUAUAUAUAUAUAUAUAUAUAUAUAUAUUGUCUUGUGUGGAUAUUAUUGGCGAGGGAUUUAAUGGACCCUUAGGAGGUGUUUGGUACGUCGGAAUAGGGAAUGAAAAUAAUAUUUUGUUUCCUUUCCUAUUUCUUAGUGGAAUGGAAUGAAUUUGAUGAUUCUAUUUCUAGCAUUUGGAUGAACUUAGGAAUGUAAGAUUGGAAUGAUUAUUUGUUUCCAUUCCAAUGUUUGAUAAUAAUAGGAAUGGAAAUGAAAAAGAAAUAAAUUUACAAUAAUAUCCUUACAUAUAAUUUAAAAUAUUUUUUUAUUUUUACUUUUAUUUUAAAAAAAUAAAAUUUGAGAGGUUUUUUGUUAUUAAAUAAUAAGACUAAAAAAAUAUAUAUAUACUCAAUAAAUAAAAAAUUAACCAUAAAAAAUCGUAUAACCCUAAUGCACAAAUAUUCAAUUAUUAUUUUUAUUAAAAAUUUGAAUAAUUUGUCAUGCUUAAGUAGUUAUAAAAUUAUAUUUUUCAAAAAAAGAAUUAUUUAUUAUAAUAUUUAAAUUCUCAAAGCUAGCAAAUGUUUUUCCUAUUUUCAAAAGAGGAAAUAAAAGAAUUCAAAUUUAUUCUAAUUUUCAACAAGUAUCAUAUCCGAUAAAAUCCAUAACCUUAAAAAAAUUUAAAUAUUCAUUUUUUUUUAUCAAAAUUUUAAAUAAUUUGUCAUGCAAAAAAAGCUAUAGAAUUAUAUUUUACUAAGAAAAAAAAGAGAAACAAAAAUAUAAGAACAUAUAAAAGUUUUGUUUUUGUUUGUUUUUUUCUUUUUAUUUUUUUCCUAACCAUUAAAAAUUUUCAAUAUUGUAAACACGUGAAAUCGAAAAAUCUUUUUCCAACCAUUUCAAUUUUUCUCUCCAGUUUCCAUUAAUACAAGAUAAAGAAACAUCAAAGAUUCCAAACAUAAAUUAAUAAAAAAAAAAAUUAAUCGAUUUAUAGAGAAGAAGAAACACAUAUAAAGAAGUAGAAGAAGAAAGAGAAAAUAAGGUAAACCUGAUCGAAGAUGUAGAAGGGAGUUUUCAGAACCUAGUUGUAGCAAACAAUGACGAAUCCUAGAUCCAACAAUCAAAAUGAACAUCCAAAACCCUAUAAAUUAGAAAUUGAUUUUUUUUUUUUUUUAAAUAUCGUGGAAGGUUUAAUUGAUUCAAUUUGGAAGAAUCAUUUGUUGCAGAGAAUUGGAUGAUGAGUGAGUCUCUAGCUUUGCAAAGAAGAUAAGAAGUGGAUGAUGAAUGGAUCUCUACCUUUACAAAGAAGAUAAACAUCGGGUUUGAAGAACAAGAUAAGAGGGUAAAAUAGUAAUUUAGGUUAUUUUAUAUUAUCAAAUAGGUUUAAUGAAUCAGAAUACCACCUACUUUUAAUGAAUGCAAAUCCGACUCAUAAGUUGGAUUUGAUUUCUGCCGGAAUAAUUUUUUAUUUCAUUUCCGCCUUCUUAACAUUUAUCCAAACAUAGGAAUAAGGGAGAAAAGGAAUGAGAUGUCUAUUCCCACUCCCUAUUCCCGUGUACCAAACACCCCCUAAAACGCAUUUAUAUGGGUUAAGAGGAACUUAUACAUAAUAUUAUAAACUUUUUUAGUUUUUUUUCUUAUUUAACAUGAUAUAUUAUAAUCAUCUACCCUUACAAACAUAACAUCUUCAUGUCACGCAAAAUUAUGAUGUAAAAUAUAUAGAUAUUUCUAGUGAGAUCAAAUAAAUAAAGGUUUACAUUGAGAUCAAGGGUCGGCGAUAUAACAUUUAUAAUGACCCACUUUCAAUUAUAUGGAUAUCAUUUAUUUUAAGUAUAGUAGGCCUUUACAAAUUUAGAAAACGAUCAUAUGAUUAAGAGAAAUUUACAUAUAUAUAAUGCUAAAAAAUUUUAUUCUCUUCCUUUAUAUUUGGAAGAUAUCAAGAUAAACAAAAAAAAGUGUAAUGUUGAACAAGCGGAAAACUUUAUCAAAUGUGUAAACUAUUUUAUAAGGACUCAUUCUUAAUGGUAUAAAUAUUGUUUGAUUCAAUAAACUUGUUUUAAAAUGCCCACAAAAUUAAGAGGAUCUAGUACGUAUAUAAUGAAAUUUAAAAAAUUCUAAUAGUAUCAAUAAUAAUGUUUAAAAAGUUCUAAUAAAUAUAAAUUAAUUUUUUUCAUUAAAAAAAACAUAUUUUGAUUUUCAUAUUUAAUUUAUUUAGGUUGAUUUAAUUGUGUUGAAAUUAAAAAAAUCAAAAUCACUUUUUCAAAUUCAAUAAAAAUAUUUGAUAUAUAUAUAUAUAUAUAUAUAUUUUAUUUUAAAAGAGUUGCAUUGUUUUUUGUUGUAAAAAAUUUUAAGAGAAAAUAUAAGGAAAAAGAAAUAGAGAGAAAAAAUAUAAAGAAAUAAUAAUAAUAAUAAUAAAUUUAAAAUCAAUAAAUUAUUUUUAUAUAUUUGUUCAAACUCAUUUAAAUUAUUUUCCUUCGUUAUAUAAAAAUGAACUAAUUUUAAGAUGGAUAAGAUUCUAAUUAAUUUUAUUUAUAUUUAAUUAUUUUUUGUAUAUUUUGUGAUGAAACCAAACAUAAAAAAACCAACCAAACAUUAAAAAAAAUAAUAAUAAUUAAUUUUUUUCUCCUUCUUUAAUAUUUUUUGAGAACCAAACAUGCCUCACACGAAUAAAGAAGUAGCUUUUACUUUGGCUCAAUUUCUUAAAGCUACAAACAAGAAAUUAUUCAUGACUUCCCAACAACUUUUGAAGUGACAACUCUUUUUUUAACACAUUUAUCAUGAAAGGGAUUUUCAUUGAACUUCAAAAUUAAUGAGGAUUUUGACUUCUUAAAAGCCAACCCUUCCCGUGAAUAAGUUACAAAAUCACAACCCCAUGAUUGAAACCUCCACUCACAUAUACGAUGCCAAUAGUGACCCAUCAAACUCUAACCACCCAUAGCAUAUCUUCCCCCACUCCACAAACCCUCAUUUCAAUACUUCCAUUGAUUAUGGCCACAGCUUCAUACCUUAUCCCCCACUUCCCCUGCAACCCACAAAUCACAUCCACAUGGUUCAUGCCACACUCCCCAUAACUAAAAUAACUACCAUUUGUAAAAAACAAGCCAAAAUUGGAACCAUGUAUUCAUAGUCACAUGAAUUAAUGUGAUAAAGAAUCUUGGGACCAUUUCUUUUUGGGAGUCUCACUCAAUGCCUUGUUUUUAUAUACAUACAUGUAGCUAGAAUGUGUCUCAUGGAGCAGUGUGUUACUGUUACAAAAGAUUUAUAGUGGCUUUUGCACCCAAACUCCUUUACAUCACUUGUCUCUUGUUAAUUAUUUUGAGGCAGUGGUUCGUAAUAGAAGAUAUGAUAUGACGGGUCGAGCAUAUUCCAGGAUGAUACUUUGAAAAAGGGAAAUAAUUGUCUUAAUCUAAUCUUUUGUGGCUGGGUGUGAUAAUGAUAUUCCACACCUAGCAUUGUUUGGUGUGCCUGAAAAUUUAUUUAUCUACUACUCAAAGGAAGAAGUAAAGGGUAAAGCAAACAGUACAGUGUGGAAACAGUUAUUUUCUGAUGAAUUUAUGGCAACUCAGAGGCAGGAGGUGUCUUCUUCUUGAUCAGAAAAGGGAUCAACCCAGGUGAGAUUUUCUCAAAGAAAGUGUUUCUACAGCUUUAGAGUUUUCCCAUUUUAUGUGAUGGAUUGGACAGGAAGGAAGUUAAGGUUCUGAAGUUGUCAUCAUCUUCAACAUACUUGCCAUUAAUACGUUUUAGAGAGAGAGAGAGAGAGGCCUUGCUUUUCUUUUUUCUGUGAUUACUGAUCAGUUAUUACCAUGGAAGAAGCGCUUUCAUUUUUACUUUCUUCUCUAUCUGUUGUCUCUCUUCUGUUUUCUUCAACUCUCUUUGGUUGGUUUUCUUAGUGCAGACAGGCUUCCAAAGUUGAAGGCAGACAGUGGUUAUUAUAAAGCUUCAUAAUCUUAAUUUCAACUCUUCAUCAUCUUCCAAUCUCAGACUGUUGCGUAAGUCAUCUGCCAUACACUAAGCUUUUCUUUUCCUGUCGCCAAUCACACUCAAGGCAAAAAACUAAUUCUUAUAUUAUAUUUGUUUGAAAAUUUUCCAGUUCAGAUUUCCCGCCGCCCCCCACUUUGUUUUCUUUUUAAGAUGUCCGUACCUGCUUUUCAUAAACGUACUAAACUUUCUAAUAUUUUUAGGAAACUUGAUCACCAAUUUUUUUUAUUUUAAAUUAUAAAUAUAUUUCUUAGCUAAACAAUCUAUUAUUCUAUUUGUUUCCCUUAGAUCUUGAGAUUAGUUCCAAAUAUCUUCCAUUAAUAACAUAAUAGAAUUAAGAAUAUUACUAUUUUUAUUACAAUAAUCUAUAACUAUUUUCGAGUCACCCUCAAUCUCUAGGUUAAGAACUCAUUGUUCUUGGCAACUAAUAUGUCAUCUUUUAACAUCAUACAUUCUGCAAUAAUUAUUGAAAGACUUAUAUGCCUACUUGCAAUCAUUUUUAUAGUAUCAUUAGAGUCUCUAAUAACCCAUCCCGAAACACUUUUAUUCUCUAUCCUUAAACCAUUAAAAUUUAAUUUGAAUCUCCAUUAAUCGGAGGAAUUCAAUGAAUCCACUUUUCAACCAUUCGAGAGACACUGCGUUCUUCAGUUUGAAGAUAAGAGUUAAUCAUAUAAUCCUGAAGAUUUUGAAAGUUUAAAGUAACUUUCUCAAUUAUGAGAAAGGGGUUGGGUUGGACCUUCUUAAAAAAAAAUACCCAAUUUCUAUGAAUCCAUACAUUUCACAAGAUAAUGGAAUUUUUUUUCCAUAGAAUGCUUGUAAAUUUUGCAGUUAAUUUUAUAGUUUUUAUAUAUCGUUUUGAGCCAAGAAAGGAAGUCACCAUCAUAAAAGAUACGUGUAGGGCAAUUAUACUUAAUGUGAUCCCAAAUUCCUUGAACAAAGGGACAAUAUUUAAAAAUAUGGUCAAUAUUCUCAAUAAUUUGCUUGCAAAGAUGACACAUGUUUGUAAUUUCCAACCUUUUAGUAAUUAGAAACUCACAAGUAGGGAGAGCAUCUCUAAUAACCAUAGGAAAAACUUUAUUUUUGGUAAAAAAAUUAAUUUCCAAAUCCAAUGUAGCAUUUUUUUUUAUCUAAGGUGCAUCGAAGGCUUUCUCAUUGCCUAAGUUGCUUACUUAAGGGUAAACUUACCAUUUUGAGAGAAACCCCCAAAAAUCUUAUCCUCAAUGGGAGAGGAAGAGAUUGGAAUAACUUUAAUAUAUGCUAAAACAUUAAGGGAAGGAAUGCUGAAAUAGAUUGAAGAUUUCAUUCCUUGGUAUCCUGAUCGCGAUUCUCUGUUGCCCAAAAUACUAAGCUGGUAUCGUCCUUAAUGACUGACCUAUGGAAAUUGUCAAACUAGGUAUAAAAGAUUGCUUUUUGCUAAAUUCUUGAAUUGGAAAAAAUAAAAAUUUGAUUUGAACAAAAUUGAAUUUAAUAAAAUAAACCUUAAAUUAGUUGCAAAAGAAUGAUUGAUUUCUAGUUCAAAUGAGUCAAGAUUGGGGCUUCCACAAUCCAACUUUAGGUAUAGGGCCUCAGGUAAAACAAAUGUAUCAAUUUUAAAUAGUCUUAGGGUAUUCAAAAUGUGGGGUCAAACAAAAUCAACCUGAAUUCCACAACUCAGGGUUGCAUCUGUAUCCUAACUUCUAAUAUUUUAUUCCAUUACUGAACCUAAUAGAUGAAUGAACAUGACAAAUGGGUUUAAGUCUAGGAGUUAUGCCUUUACCACUCUAUGUAGAUUUGUCUUAGGGUAGAUAACAAUAGCAAAACCUCAUAUAACUAGGGAUCAAGAAUGACUAAGAAACCCUAGUAUCAAGGAAUGAGCUAUUGUACCAUCCUCUAAUUCAAACUAAUAUUAGAUGAUAUUUCUAUUUUCAUCUAUUAUGCCUCAACCCUUCAUUCAUUCCAUUCUUAGUUUGAUUUUACCCAUUGUUUUCCCUUGACUCUACUUUAGGUUUUCAUGUUUCACACCCCAAGAUGACUUUUUAGCCUUUCAUGGUGGUGAUUUCAUUCAUACAAUCCAUAAAAGAAGAAUAAAGAACCAUUUUUGAAUAAAAAUAAAUUAGAAAUAAUUAAUUAAAAUAAAGAAAACAAACUGAGAAUCUUCAAUGUCAUAUUCUUUCCCCAAAAAAAUCCAAGAACAUCUAAUAAUUCCCCAACUCCUAAAAAAGAACUCUAAUGCCUUAUAUAUAGAUUAAAAGUUAAGUUGACACAUGUCAAGAUCCUAGAGAGCAUGUAAAAUCUUCUUUCCAAAUCAAAGGCUCUUAAUAAAAGUUGUAAAAAUUUGAGUCAUGAGAGUCUUUAAUGAAAAUAUGUUAAUUUCACAUGAGGAUGAUCCAUUUCGCACGGUCAUGUGAAAUAUAAAUGGAUUGGUAGCAUUCUAACAUCAUUAUGGCGCAUUUGACAUGGUCGUGCGCAAAGUCGCAUGUUCAUGUGAAACUGAUUUCCAAGUUGUUGCAAAAACAAUUUCUCUGGUCCAUUUCGCACGAUCAUGUGAAAUUGACACUCCUUUUAUUUCUCUUUGCGCAGUUCUCUUCAAUCAUCUAUAUCUUCCUCGUUUUAGCUCUGAUUUGCACACUGUUUGAAGCGUUGAAUUCUUUAGCUUUGAAAUGAUAUAUAGCAUGCCCAAAAAUGGCAUUGAGAAGUACUCCAAAUAUCAUCUCAAAGUCAUAAUAUAUGUUGCUACCAAAUUUUGAGUUCCAAUUAGAAUGUAUGAACUUCAAGUUGUAUCCUUCAACCUUCUUUAUCAUGUUUGCUUGCUCUCCAACUCUUUUCACAACCUUCAUUUCUUAUCUCUCAUGCUAUAAAUUGCUUCACUUUCAUUUCCUCAUGCUCCACUUUCAUUUAAAGAAGGGUAAACAACAGAAAAAAAAGAAAACCAAUAUAAAGCAGUCUUGGAGCUUAGAAUCGGUAAAAUACAGAAGGGAGAACAAGUAUUUUCUAAUCAACAGAAAGAAUGUAGGCCAAUUGUGAAGGAUUAGAUUGCUAAAAGAUGUUUCAAUCCAUAACUUCCCUUGAUUAGUAAGGAAAGAGCACGUGCAGUAAAAAACAAAGGCUGCGAGUGCAUUAAAUUGAAGAUGGAAGAACACGUGAUAGGCAACAUGCCCUUUGUGCUAACCCAAAUACACCCACUCUAUCAAGAGACUAUUACCUAACUUACACCAAAAUGAACUAAGACCCAAACCCAUUAUAGAAAUAAAAUUCCUAAUAUGCUUAAAGAAGCUAGACCCAAAAGCAUUGAUUCAAGUCACAAACGUAAACACAAAAAUGCCCUAAACAAAAGCCCAUAAGCAAACAAUACCAAGCAAAAUAUUAGGCCCAUCAUACAUACCCUUCCAAUCUCCCAAGUUCAACUCAUUGUAAUUAGGGAAUGAAUUCGAGAUACAAAGCAUGUACAUAAAGCUAUUUUGAAAUAAAAUUAGAGAAAAGAACUUACCAGAACAAACUCUAAACAUUUCAAACCCAUAUUUGAAUCUUGCAAAGAUCCAAAUUCCCACACAACCAAGUGGCUGAAGGUUGAAUGUUGCUUCGGGUCGCAAUUGCACAUGAGCACUGAGAGCUCCAAAUAAUUAGACAAAUCGCCAACAAUCAACAGUCCAAAUGAAAAUCAGAGCAAAAAACCCUAAAUUAAAGAUAUGGAGAACCCUAUUUUCAUUGUAGAUCCCAUUUUCAACUAAAUUAACCCUAGCUAAAGUGAUCCAAAAUGAAGAACUUGAGGAUCUUGUUUCCUUUGAAUCUGACAAGAUGACUAGAGAAUUUCUUAAACAAAUGUGAAUAUCGCCUUUUGAAAUGGUGUGAAACAUAUUCACCAUCCUUGUUGGAGUCAUCUUUGUAGUAGAACUUGUUAAUCUUUUUUCCCAUUCUACUACUAGAAAGCCUUAACGUCCAUUUUCUCUUUACAUUUUUAGAGAGAGAAACUCUCAUUUUUCACAUUAUCUUCGUCUUGCGACAAGGUUUAUUACUAUUUUUACUAUUCAAUUUUCAACUUUAAAAAUUUGCAAUCAACAAUCUUAAAAUAUUAAAGUUGGGUGCCUUUAUUUCCUUCAUAUUUCAACCUGCUAUUAUUUGAUAAUAAUAAUGAUGAUGAUAAUAAAUCUCAUCAUUUCAAAUUUUAUGUACUCUAAGAACAAAGAUAGAUAAUAUUCAUCUAAGUUGAAGUAAUACUCAUAUGACUAAAGAUAGUAUCUUAAUAUAACUUUAACUUAAAAAUACAUAAAUUUUUAAAUAUUUUGAGUUAAAUAUAUUAAAAUUGGAUUUUAUAAAAUUAAAAAAAUUUAAUAUUUUUUUAUAAAAAUAUGCAACAAAUUUUUUUUUUUCAUUCUUUUUGUCUUAAUAAAUUGGGUUGAAGUUUGAAAAAAUCAUUGGAAAAAUAUUUUUAUUUUUAAGUUCUAAAACAUUAUAUGACAUUUAAAAUAAUGUAUAAAUCUUAAGAUGGUGCCACUUGUGUCUCGUUGCAUAACUCUUGGAGCUCUCUUGAUUUUUUCUACCAAAUAUUUAUUUAGGGAAAAGUGUGUUUCCAUAGGCUUAUACGAAAAAAAAUCUAUAAAAUAAGAAUCCAAAUUUAUAAAAUGCAAAUUUUAAACCGUUAUUUAAAAUUAAUUAGCAUUUCAUGUAAUUUUUUUUAUCAAAUGUACUAUCUUUUGCCAUUUAGGUAUUAUCUUUUAAUGAAAUAUGUAUUACUUUAGUACUACAUUUGAUCAAUGAAGGCAUGAAAAUCUGAAUUAUCUUUAAAGGUUAUUUUUAUACAAAUGUGGAAAUUCAAUUUUUUUUAAUUUGUCUUCCAAAGUUUUAUUUUAAAACCUAUUUGUAUUCUAAUUUUUAAUAACUUUCCAAUCAUUUAUUACUAAUUAAUAUUUGGCCGCUGGCAAACAAAAUCAAUAAAUUUUAUUAUAUUAGUAGCACGAUAGCAACGUGGCAGGGAGUUACGUGGAUGAGGUGUCGACAAAAAAGGCCAAAAAAAAAGAAAAUUCCAUUGAUAGAAAGUGAGAAUUUGAAAAUUAGAAGUCGGUUUUUGAUAAAGUCUCUGGCUGAGGCACAAUGUUUGGUUAGGUGUUCAUCGACCUCGUUUCUAUUAGUGUUCUUUCAAUCAUUUCUUGUAUUUUGUGGAUUUUUUGGCUUGCAUUUUACGUGGUUCUUUUAAUGGUUUUGUAUGUUCUUGGAAUGUGGGAGAAGAUGAAGGGUUUGGGGGUGUUGAAUUGGAUUCUGGGAGCGAUUUUUUUGCUGUGGUUAUGCGUAGGAAUGGAAUAAUUUUUUGUGGGUCGUUUGGAUGGCAGGAAAAAGGAGGAAAAUGGGAGAAAAGUUGGAAUCUUGUAAUAUUUUCAAUAGUGAUUAUGAGUUAUUCAAUUGAAUUAAAGUCAGCCCAGUGAAAAAUUAUUUGGGAAUGAAAUCCCAACUGCCAUAAAACAGGGGAAGAAAAGAACUUAAAAGAGAAAAACGGGUUUAUUGGGUGGUGCCAUAGGUGGGUCGGUGCUCAUAGUGACAUAUGCUGCAGAAGCUGGUGGUGGUUCAUGGUGGUGUCAACUGCACUGGUGGUCAUGCUGGUUAAAAUGGGGGGUGGCAAUGGGGUUUGAAAGAAAUGGAAUCCACAAUAACUGAAAUUUUUGUAGAAUUUUUUUCUUUCUGUCUGAUUCUUAAAUGCAAAAUGCUUUGGGGAAACAUCUGUUUAAGCAAUUUCCUUUCAUUUCCUCCAUACUUUCCAGGAAUCAAAUAGAGCUGCAAUGCCUUCUUUGGGUGAUAAUAACGCUGUCGGGUAGCUAAAUAAUAAUUUUCUCUGUCAACCUGUGUGUAGGAUACAGCUUAAUUUUGUUAAGUGGAGCCCAAAUUCUGUUUUCAGUUACCAAACAGAAGGAAACUGUUUUAAUAUUGUUCUCUGAUUCUCAGAUGCUGUCUGAUAUUUAUCAUGGAGUUUACUUGUUUUGAGAAGGUGUUCCAUAGUACUUGAUUAUUUAACAUUUUUUACUUGGUCUUACUCGUGCUUUUCUCAUCUUUUAUUUACAUCAUACUGAUUCUUUCAGAAAGAUGGUUGCAUUCGGGAAAAAGUUGAAAGCGAAUCAAAUUCAAGAAUGGCAAGGGUAAGUAUCUGAAUGCUCCUUGCUACAGGUUAUGCUUGACAUCCUUCGUCUAUAUUAGAUAUAGUCUACUGUGUUGCUGAGUUUUCUUUCAGUUUCAAUCUUAAUGAAGUCAGUUAUUACUCAUUUUCUAUCAUAUUCAUAAAAUGUUACUCUUUAUGCCAACUAUGAUUGUAUAUUUACUUUUUAAGGUACUAUCAAUUAAUUGUGUCAAGUAUGCUUGUAAUUUGAUUCCUUCCAGGCACUACAUUAACUAUAAGUUAAUGAAGAAGAAAGUAAACAGAUAUGCUCAGCAAAUUGAGGUGGGAGCGCAAAACCGCCUUUAUGUUCUUAUGGAUUUUGCAAAAUUGCUGGAUAGUCAGGUAAUUAAAAAAUGUAUGAAACCAUCAACAUUUACUUGAGUAAUGCAAAAUGAGUCCUAAAAUAUGAUUGGAAAAGUGCAGGCUCACAUACAGUAUGUAGAUAUUCUAAUUCAUGCAGUCAUUUGGGUUUAUCUUUUACUGAGAUAUUGUCAACAUUUUGUUUCACUUUUUGUAAGUUUCUAGUGUAACUUCGUUCUGAACUUUGAUAUGCCAAGUAAGUGGAAGAAUUCUAGGGAAGUUUCACACCAACAAUAUGGUGUAUAAGCAAGAUUUGAACUACGGUUUUAUUCUGAACUUUGGUUACCUAAGGUAAGAUAAUUUGAAGAAGGUUUUAGGAAGUCUGCAUGUUCAGAAUUACAUGAUUUCAAGCUAAACUCUUGGAGGAGAAAGAAUGGAAGUGCUGAGUUAAUGUGAGAGAUGUACCAAAUAGCAAACUGUAUAUCUCAUUUUAUUCAUAUUUGUGUUGGGCAAAGAGAUAUGUUAUAUUUGAUUCAAUUUGAUCUAUAUUUAAUUGAUAUUUUGAAUUUGUUUAGAAUCUUUUUAAAAAGAAACUAUCAAUUGUUUCCCUUAAAGAGUAUUUACUGAGCUGCAUAUCAUCUUAGCAGUGCAUUAAGCCUACUAUAUAGGCUUAAUACUGGAAUUCUGUUUCUCCAUUCUGAUAUAUAAAAGGUCAUGUAUUAUGAGGCAUGGAAAUGAAUUUUGUCAUACUCCUACCCACCAUCUUUGGGCAUGGUCUCCCCCUUGAAAGCUUCACCACAUCUUUUGAUUUCUUUCAUAUGCCUAGACUGUGUUAAUUGGAUCUCCUCUUUUGUACCACCAAAUGGGGCCGCUAAUUAACUCUGACAAGUUGUCUCAUUUGUAAUGUCCCUCUUAGUCAUUGAUUGUUUUACCUUGUGGUGAUUGAUUUACCCAUAAUUCUGAUCUGUAAAGCUUAUUGCUUGUUUCAUUUUUCCUUUAGUUUGAUUGGAAUGUGAUACAUUUGUCAGAUAACAAUUCAGAAGCAUAUCUUUAUUUUAGCUUUUCCAUCUACUCCUGAGGGGAAAACUCUUGUUAAUUUUCUGGCCCUAUUUAUUAAUCCAACGCCUAUAUGGCCAAAAAGGUUUUCAAACCCUUACCAGGGGUGUAUAUCAUGGCUAAGAAAAUUGAAGCAUUAUCCAUAUAAACAUGAAGAUGCAUGUUACUUUUGAUGUUUAUAUGUUUGAAAUUUAUGGUUCUUACUGAUUGAGAAAAACCAUAUUUUUUUGUUGGGGAACAGGAUCCUUAACAGUAUAAUAUGCUUAAACUUUGUUUCUUCUCAGAUAAUGUAAUUGUUGCAAUGAUUUAUUUAAGAAGGAUUGCAUAUGAAUAUUUCCUUUUGGUUGUUUUAAUAUUUCAGAUUGAAAAGAUUGUUUUGUUUCUGUUGGAACAACAAGGGAUACUCGCAAGCAGAUUAUCCAAUCUCAGAGAACAGCAUGAUGCUCUUUCACAACAGCCAGAUGGAUUAAAAGUAUCUGAAGUAAAAGAAGCAUAUAGAGCAGUGGGGAGGGAUCUUUUACAGCUUCUCUUUUUUGUGGAAAUGAAUGCUAUUGGUCUGCGUAAGAUAUUGAAAAAGUUUGAUAAGCGCUUUGGCUACAAGUUUACAAAUUACUAUGUUAAAACUCGUGCAAAUCAUCCUUACUCCUUGCUGCAACAAGUGUUCAAGCAUGUGGUAAUAUGCCCAAUGAGAUUUCAAUGUUUCUUUUUUAUCUUAAUAAUUUUCAGAAAAAUAUUACAAUGUGAUCGAUUUCAUGGAGUUAUUGUCUGUAAUCUCAUCUUACCUUCCUAGAUAUACCUUUGAGUUGUUUGGUACAAAUAUGGUAAUAACUCUGUCCAGCAUGAAUUAGCUUCCAUUGUCUCUAUCUGUGGAUGAAAGCAUUAUCUUCUGGUAACUGGAUUGAACUUGCAGGGUAUUGGGGCUGUAGUAGGAGCCAUAUCACGCAAUCUUGCAGAUCUUCAGGACCAUCAGGGGAGCUACAUAUCAAUUUAUGAUCAACCUGCUUCUUCACUUACGGUUUUCUCUCCCUUCCAUCUAAAUUUAUAAAAAUUAUUUUAAAUAGUUUUGUUUCUUUUUUUGCCAUAUCAUUGUUUGUCUCUGGAGAGUCUAGAAAAUUUACAUUGGUAUUUGAAGUAACACCAAAGGAACACAAAUCUUUUUCUUUGGACAGCAGCACAGACCUAUGAAGCAUGCAACGCAUACAACUAUUCUACAUAUGAUGGCGACUAUAUAUACUUUUUACUUUAUAUUAACGUUUUGACCAUAAUCAGUUUUGACUGAAAACUAAGUUUAAUAUCUAUGUUCAAGCAAGACUUCUAUUACUGAAAGAAUCCCCUCUGAAUAAUCCUUCUUAGUGAGAUGAUGCUAUAUUAGUGCAUUGGUAAGGCUAUGUUUUUUUUUUUAAUUGAAAAAGGGCUGUACUUCUCUGUAUGAAAAGAUAGUGUAACGUUUAUUAACCAAUCCACAUGUUCUAAACCUAAACCCCAAAAGAAAAUGAAUCUGAUUUAUUGGAUCUUAAAAGCUAAACAAAAUAAAAAAGAAUCGAGAACUAUGUUGUUAACCUUGGAAAAUCACGCAGAUUCUAAUCUAUUGGACUUCUAAAUUAUGUAGCAUAUUCAGAAAUGUUAAAAGUAAUAUGAAAGCACAGAAUUAAAACAUAAAACAAAUUUAACGCAAGUAUUAGUUUUCCACAUGUAGAAUGUGACUUUUUAUAUUUUAGGUAUUAAUCAUGCAUGCUGGAUGUCAAAAUGUCAAAAGCAUCAUAAUGCUGGCAUUUGUUUGAUUCAGAAUCAUUGAGAUGUAAUUCAAUCUCAUUAAAUUUAUAGGCAAAAUAUUUAUAUUUCUAUGGGUUAAAUCCGAGUUAUCGCGAAAUAAAAGAAAAAAAAAUGAAAUGAUGGUGUUACAGGAGAAACAUUUUCACGUUUGCUGUCUGUUAUGGCUCCUAAUGAGUUUUUGUUUUUACUUAUUCUCUAGUUGUCUUGUUUACUGCAAGUAAUCUCUCAUGACUGUAUUAUUUAUAAUAGAUGAGCAAUCAUAUUAUCACCAACUAUUUUCGUAGUUUCAAAUUUCCUAAAUUUUUCCUUGAUACCGAAAGACAGACCUUUCAGUGACUGAGCAUUAUAUGUAAAGUUCUAGCAAAAACAAUUUUAAAGAACUUCACAGGAUAUGAUUGUAUGCAACUUUCUUCUGACUGAGACUUUACUGUGUAUAUUGACUUAUGCCAUUUAAUGGUAUUAUUUGCAGGAUCCUGUCAUUGAUUCUAUUAAUGCUGCUGUAGACAGGUUAACAAACUCAACGAAUUUCCUUCACUUUUUGGGAAAACAUGCGCUUAUUAUGCAAGAGGAGUUGCCGACUCCAUCUGAGGAUCAUGCUGUUGACCAGAGAUAUCAUUUUAUGUCUCUUCUCUUGAACUUGGCAAACACAUUUCUGUAUAUGGUCAACACAUAUAUUAUUGUCCCAACAGCAGAUAACUACUCUCUGAGCCUUGGAGCUGCAGCAACUGUUUGUGGUGUUGUGAUUGGGGCGAUGGCUGUUGCACAAGUGUUCUCUUCAGUAUAUUUUAGUGCAUGGUCAAAUAAAUCGUACAUGAGACCUCUAUUAUUUAGCAGUAUUGUUCUUCUUGUUGGAAAUGUCUUAUACGCACUAGCUUAUGAUCUUGACUCGAUAUCGGUUCUCAUUAUUGGUCGUCUAUUCUGUGGGUAAGCAAAUUCAUUAUUAACUCCAUUACUUAAGAUUGGAAACUUACAUUCUAUUUGUUGGUUAGCUGUGGGAUGCAUGAGCCCAGAUUCUCAUCUCUAAAGUAGAAAAAAAAUGUUAACAUCAAUAAGAAAAGCAUGACAAUAAGCAAUGGGCAUAACUUGAUGCAAGAACAACAUGUUAUGGUUCGGUUGUGGAUUUGGUUCUGAUUAAAUUUCUUUCUGUCUGGUUCAGUUCUGGUUCUGUUAAAAAAUACUAGCAAUCUAAUGUAACUUCUCUUCAAAUAAAUAAGUAUUUUGAGUGGAUAUUUAAGUAGUAGUAGGAUAAAAGAGUUGCAUGAGUUCAAAACACCUUGUUUAUAUUUGAAUGGCUUAAAUAUUUUAUUUUAAAGGCUGCUUUUGGUCUUAUCAUGUGUUCUUUUUGCCAACAUAAAUUUGUUGUUCUCAUUGGAGUGCAUAUUGGUGAUUAUUCACAUGUUUAAGGUUUCAAGUAAAAGAUUCUUAUAUGGAUUAAAAGUAGAACUUGUUCAUAGAGGUAUACAUCAUUCUGCUUGGUCUUGGAAAAAUGGAUCUAUCUCAUGGAUUUAUUACAUAACUUGAUGAAGCAAUGUUUAUCAAUAUGUCAGGUUAGGUUCUGCAAGAGCUGUCAACAGGCGCUAUAUCAGUGAUUGUGUUCCGCUUAAACUACGAAUGCAGGCUUCUGCAGGUUUUGUUAGUGCAAGUGCACUUGGAAUGGCAUGUGGUCCUGCUCUUGCAUGCUUAUUUCAAACCAAUUUUAAGAUUUACAAAAUCACAUUCAACGACAACACACUACCUGGUUGGUUUAUGGUGCUGGCAUGGCUUGUCUAUUUAUUGUGGUUGUGGAUUUCUUUCAGAGAGCCUUUUCAUGAGGCUAAGGAGAAUAUUGCACCCCUGGAAGUUAAUGCUGGUAUGUAGACCAGAUUGCUUUCUUUAGCUACAUCACUAGCCAGGAUAAACUCUUCACACAACGUUUAUCCUGGAUACUGACCAUCUGUGAUUAUUAGUAAAACUUCUUUAGGCUUCCAGUUUGAUCUAAGUUACUCUUCAAAGUCAGCCUUGCCACAUUUACUUGGAGCACAAGUUCCAUGUAUGAAAUCUACCCUAGGUUGUAGCUCUUCACUGUCAAUUUUUUUGUUGCAUAUGCAAAGAUAAUAUAUUUAUUAAUCACAUUUCUGUUUAUUUCCUUUUGGGCUUCAUCUUAUGCAUGGCAUUCUUUUGUGAAGCUAUAGACACCUGAGUAAUCUAGAACUAUCUUCCUGAAUAAUUAAUGGUUCCUGUCUGAACAAUGUCACAUAAAACAGUGAUCAGAUUCCUACAGGAGGCAUAGAUAAUCUUUCAGCUCCUUUUUCAAGAUCUAUGUUACAAUUAUUGUCUCAUGUUGAGUUAUGGAAAAACCCUAAUCAGAUUGCCCCAACUUCACUUUUGUUUUAAUGGUAUUAGAAGGUAAGUGGCUUUAUAGGGGGAAUUUUGAGUUGAAUGCUGCAGUUUCACUCAUCCUUCAUCCAUGUUAUGCUCUGUAUAGUUCUCUGUUUUGUGCUCCAAUAUCUGUGGGUAUUAAGCUACUAGUCCAAUAUUUUCCUGUUCUUUUUUCAAUGAAAAGCCCCGCUAGCCUACUUCUAUUGCACAAAGCAUGAAACUUAGUGAUAAAUAAUAUCAUUCAAAAAUGUUUUGCUCUAAUAAAAUUUUCUUUGUGUUCAACAGCGUACCCUGUUUUCUCGGUAAUCCCCAUUUCUUCCCUCCCACACACAGUCACUGUCUUCUUAUCCAGUUAUGUUGUCAGAUAAAUUUAAGAAUCUGUUUCAUUCAAUAUCUCUAUGAAUAAACUUGGAUUUACUUAGUAUAUCAGAAUCCUUGAGAUAUUUCAUGAAAUCUCUUGCUUGUCUUACAUCACAUGCAUGCUUGUGUCUAAUUUAUAUCAUUUGAACCUCCAAAAACUUUGCCCCUUGGCACCUUGCCCACAUCAGAAAAUGAAAUGGUUUCAAAAUUAGAUGAAAUUGUUUGCAAUUAAAUAAAUUCAUGCUUGACUUUAGAGAGUCUAAAAACCAUUAUACCGGAGUCUUUUGGCUGGGGCAGGACAUUAGUCCCUUGUGGAAACUCCAUUUUCUCACUUCUAUUUGCAAAAUUUUACUAUUUCAUAAAUUCAAAACUUGAAUAUCCUGGCCCAUGUUAAUAGGCAUGAGCUUUAAUUACAAUUUGGAUCUUUUUUGUGACAGCCUUAUUAGUAAAUGAGGCUGUGGAGAGUGGCUCGACACAACCAUUGCUGUUGAACUCAAAAGCUAAAGAGGAAGAUGAAGACCAAGAAUGCGAUGGUGCUGAAGAAGAUUCUAAUGACAUUCAAAAACCUGUCACUUCUCUUGUAUUGGCAUAUAGAUUACUUACACCAUCUGUAAAGGUAUGGAUCAAUUCUAAAUUUUAUCUAAACCUAUUUCAGUUUAUGUGCUACUGGAUUUCAGUUUACCUAUCAAACAAAAAAAAAAAAAAAGUGCUACUGGAUUCAUGCCACCCCUAUCAUCAUUAUCUUGGCAAACCUGAGACAUAUAUGGUGAGGGAACAAUGUUUGAAACUUGACGAAGUCUCUGUUCUCUUUCAUUCUAUAUUUCUAUAUAGCUUUAUAGAAUUCAAUUAGCUGUUUGAUUAGGGAUAGAUCACCAUUUAAAUAUAAGUAGUGUCCUGAGAGCACUCAGUUUCUUAUGUGGAGGUAGAUGUGCUUCUUCCGAUUCUUUUGUCCUAAAAAUUCUCCAUGCCAAAAGAUUAUUAUUAUACCUUCUUGUAUAUUUCUCCUCUGAAUUAAAAUAAAGCACCUUCUACACAAUGUUUUAACUAUAGUCAAUGGUAUUUCUUCUCAGGUUCAAUUAUAUAUUUAUUUUAUGCUCAAAUAUGCUAUGGAGGUUCUGCUUGCUGGAUCAAGUGUCAUCACCACAUACUACUUUGUUUGGUCAACCAGACAUGUGGCAAUUUUUCUUGCAUGUCUUGGGCUAACAGUGCUCCCAGUAAACAUGGUUGUUGGGAGCUACAUCAGCAACAUGUUUGAAGAAAGGUAAACCUUCAGACAUCAGGGAAACUCAACAUGUUGUUUGUCUUUUUUUAGUCAGUGACAAGAAAAUUCUUAUGCAAAAGGCUUGGUUGAUUUAUGUCACAAUAGAUAAAUGGGUGUUAGAUCAUUUCUCCAUGUUUUUAUUAAUAUUUUGCAAUAAUUACUAAAAGGCUUUUCAAAAUGUUUUACUAUGCUUCAAAACAUUCACUGAAAAUGAAAGGAUAACGAGUGUUUCAUAUUUCACAUGUUCACAUUGAGAUUGACAUGGGUAAAGAGCAAUUGCCAUUGGGAAAAAUGUUAAUUCUCAUCAUUCUCAGAUAAGAUCACAAGAGUAAAGUCAGUUGUUGAAACCGGGAUUAUUUAGUUACUUCAGGGAGUUUUCUCCUGGUUGAAUUCUGUCAAAUGGCACCUAUUUCAUAUAUAUGGUUCAGACUCAUUCUCCAUUUUUUCCCGGCUAAUGCAUAAUUGGGGGUGAUUUGCAGGCAAGUUUUACUGGCAUCUGAAAUUAUGGUAUGCAUAGGAACACUCCUAAGCUUCAAUGUAGUUAUCCCUUACUCGGUGCUGCAGUAUGUUGGCUCAGGACUCAUCACAUUCGUGUCUGCUGAAGUUCUUGAGGGUAAUGUAUCAUUACUUAUGAUCCAAACAUUGAAUACUUGUGCAGAUCUCCAAUCUCCUGAUGAGCUACUGGUUCAUAUUUUUGUUCACAUCAUUAGAACUCAGAACCAAAUUUUGCUAAUCAGAUGCUUUCUCUGCCUCCUGAACAAUUUUGCUUGAUCAAUGCAGGUGUGAACCUAUCACUCCUAUCAAGGGUCAUGUCUUCAAGGCUUUCUCAAGGAACCUACAAUGGUGGACUGCUUUCAACAGAGGCUGGAACCUUGGCUCGAGUAGUUGCAGAUGGAACAAUAACCCUUGCUGGGUACUUGGGUGAGGGUAUGGUCUUGAAUGUCACCUUACUGACUUCACUCUUCAUCUGUAUCUCUUCCAUUGUCGCCACCUGCUUCACCUACAACACACUCUACUGAUGCUUUGCUAUCGGUAUUCCUCCCUUCAUGUAUCAUCCUGUAUAGUAUAGAACCAAUUAGCUAGCUCUCUGAUCAAUACCCAGUACCCACAACAUACUGUAAUGUAAUUUUCCAGCCAAUGAUUUUAUAUCAAUAAAUUCCACUUAGUGUUGCAAUCUGAUUUUCCAUCUUCCCAAAGGGGAGUUUUGCCACCUUCAAUUGUAUAAGCAGUUCAAGGCCAUGCUUAGGUUAUGAAGGGCCAUGAUUGUCACCAUCACUCAUCCUUCUAUCUUAGCAUUAUGCAGAUCAUGCGAAAUUUGUAUGAUUUUUGAAUGAAACAUUUUUCCUUGAAAGCAUGAGGUGGGAGUGUUGAAUGAAUUGAUUAAACAACAAUUGACGUUGAGGAAGGCUUAGGCUUGGGCUUGACUUUAGAAUUGCUUGAGGUAUGGGUCAUGUUUGAGCUUUAUGCUUUCAAGCAUAUUUUAUAAUUAUUAAUGAAGUGGAUUGCUUUACUUGGCAUCUACGCUUCGAACAAAUGAGAGAAACCCGAAAAUUAAAAGCGUAUAUUAAAAUAUUUAUGUGGAGGAUUUUAGUUGUCAAUUGAUAUUGAUGACAUGAUAAAUAAAUAAAUAAAUAAAAUAAUUUUAGAGAAUAAUUAUAAAACUCAUUAAAAAAUAAAUAUAUUUUAAAUUAUUUUAAAAUAAAUAAAUAUAAUAUUGAUUUAAAAAAAUUAAUUAAUUUUUUUUUAUAUAUCUUUAUAUUAGUGAGUUAGAACUCAAUUUUCUCUUCAUUUAAGUCAAAUGAAUAUCCAUGCUGAUGUGGCACGGACACGACUUAUGAACACGUGUUACUGUGUCAGAUUUUUGACAAUCCGUUCCCACGCCCUUCCCGUACGCCUAGUAGCGCACGUUAGCGCAAACCCUCGAACAUUCGGCGUCGGAAAAGUAUCAAAUCAAAUCUUAUGCCCUGUUUGGCAACUCUCAAAAAGAGAAAUCCGGCUUUUAGUUUACAAAUUGGGAGACGGAAUUCAUAGUUCUUUCAGAUUCUUGUUUUUUUUCUCUCUCUAGAUUUGUGGGUUAGAGAGACAAGCUCCGUUUGUUAAUGGCUUCAGAUCAAGAGUUGUCAGGAACUGUGCAGAACAUACUGGACCAAGAGAGUCUGAAGUGGGUCUUUGUUGGUGGUAAAGGCGGCGUUGGCAAGACUACGUGUAGUUCGAUUCUGUCGAUCCUUCUCUCUAGGGUUAGAUCCUCUGUUUUGAUAAUCUCCACUGACCCCGCUCACAAUCUCAGCGAUGCGUUUCAGCAGCGUUUCACCAAGGCACCCACUUUGGUUAAUGGGUUCUCCAAUCUCUAUGCAAUGGUACUGUUUUCAAUUCCCAAUUUAAUGGUUUUUGGUUUGGUGGGUUUUGUGUUUUCAUGACUUUUGAAGUUUUUGAUGUGAUAUUUGUGGUGGAUUUAGUUGUUUCUAUUGAAAUUUGCGGUUUAUCGGGGUGAAUUUGAGGAAAAGCUAGUUCAUAGUUUUCUUGUUUCGUUUGGUUUUUUGGGGAUGAAUUAGUGCAUUAUUUGAGGUAUUGUGUUUUAAUGAAUUUGGACUUUUUCUGACGUGGGUUUAGUUGUUGCUGUUGAAAAUUUGGGUUUUAUUGUUUGGUGAAUUUGGGGAAGACGUUUGUCAUGGUUUUCUCGUUUUGUUUGGUUUUUGGGGAUUACUAGUUCUUUGAUUUGAGAGUUCCAUACCCUUCAGAUGGUUUGUGUGAAAAGUGUGUCAGAUCCUGAGUGUGUGCUACAUAUUAUCUGGGUUUUCCUUUUUCAUCUAGAGAAACAAUUUAUACAGGAAUUAUCUGUGUUUUAAUAUUUUUGUUUCUAGUUCUUUUAAGUUUUGGAGAAGGUGUCGUAUCCAAAUGAUUCUCAAUGGCAUUGUGGUCUAUUGUUUACAUUCAUUGCUCCCAAGUUGUUGCCUUGAUUGCUUUGUGCACAUAUUGAUUGUUAUAUAGCUUAUACUAAUAGUAUGUUUCCUUUUAGGAAGUGGAUCCCAGUGUAGAGAACGAAGAAUUACCUGGUGAUGGAAUGGAUAAUCUUUUCUCUGAGCUGGCAAAUGCAAUUCCCGGAAUUGAUGAGGCAAUGAGCUUUGCAGAAAUGUUGAAGUAAGUGACAUGAUCCCUGAUCAGAUUGUAUCCAAUGGGGCAAAUAUUUGUUAUUUGUUUAUGUUUUAAGUUGUUUAAACCUAUAAAAAACAAUUUUGAGUGUUUUUGGCUAACUUCAGCAUCCUUGUGGAUCACAUUUUUUUACUUGGGAUAAGUGAGCACAUUGGGAGUACUCUGAAGUUUACUCUUAUUUGCACUUGCAGUUAAAUAAAAGAUGAUCUAUUUGCAAUAAUAAUAUGAAAAAUAGGCUUUAUGCAGACUUAGGUUUGAAAAAUUAUCUUUUUGCAUUGGUUAUUGUUGAGGAUUUCUAUUAAUUGAGUUACAUGCGGACAUGUAUAACAAAGACAUAUCUGGCAUAUCGUUAAUUAUUUUAUCCAAAAGGUGGCAUAAAUGUAAAAGAUGUAACUUUGAAGCGUUGUUAUAUGAUAUGAAAAGUUUUAAUAUAAGUUGGACCAGAGUACUAGCAAAUGCAACUUGCUUCUGUUGUAAGACCAGAAGUUGAAAGUUAAAAUCUUCCUUCCUGUAGCCUAUCACACACACACACGCACAAAACCUGGGCUUUACAAAUCCAAAAAGGGUAUGACUGUAAAUUGCCUUAGAAUGAGAAAUUCAUCAAGAAACACUAUUUGAACCUAAAACAUCAUCAAAUGAAAGAACCAAAGAUAAGACAGCAUGAGAUAUAUCCACAAAGGGUUCAAAAAAUAGGGAAGGUAUGCCUCUUGCUUGCCUUGUGGCCUCUUUUAUAUACUCCAUGUGUACUCUGUUGCACCAUUUUGCAAGUGCUUUUAAUAUAUUCUCCUUAUUUACCUAUCAAAAAAAAGGGGGGGAAGGUACAAACCCAGAAGAAGCCACUUGAAAGAAAAUAGGAUGGGUAUGGAAGAGGGGCCCAAAAAAGACCUGGGAGAGAAGCCUUUAAUAACUAUUGUUGAUAUCGUGUAUCAUUUCUCUCCCAUGUAGUUUUAGUUAUAAAAAAGUUGCCAAAUUUGACACUUUUUGAGGCUUUAUUUCGGAUUAAGUUUUUCCUAGUUGGAAUUAGGUGGGAUUUGGGUCAUGAACAUGCAAUUAAAUUUUAUAUCAUCUUUACUCUUAUACUGUGGAGUUGAUACAUCAAGAUGAAUUGAUUAUCAUGCAUUAUUUGUGAGGUGUAGGCCUCUUUUCUGCGGUGGUCUCUGCUCUGCCACCUAUAAGUUCCCAAAAUUUUACUAAUACUUUCAUUCAUUAAAUCUCAUAACACUUGGUAACAGAAUCUGCCUCAAGAUAAGGUAAGUUACUCCUUAUUAGUGUGCCUGUAUUGGUGCAUCCCUUGACGUAUCUGAUUUUUAUACUGGGCUUUGUUCAAUUUUGUUAGCAUUUAAACACUUACAAAAUCAAGUACUGGCCAUGCACAUGUACUUUUACUUUCUCUUAUUGAAUGAUGAGACAUGAUUCUUAUGUGAUAAAAUUCUAUUGCACUUGCCAUUUAUGAGUAUAACUUUUUCUGUACUAACUUCUUCUUGCAGGUUGGUUCAAACAAUGGAUUACUCUGUGAUAGUAUUUGAUACAGCUCCUACUGGUCAUACACUUCGGUUAUUGCAAUUUCCAUCAACAUUAGAGAAGGGGCUUGCUAAAAUGAUGUCCUUAAAAAAUAAAUUUGGUGGUUUAUUGAAUCAGGUACACCAUAAGAAUCUUCCAAUUUUAGUAUCUCCCAGGUUUAAGGAAUUAUCUGCUCUGAUGUGGUCAAGCCUAGUUAUUAUAUGGAAUGGUGCAUUAAUGAUUGAACAUUGAUCAAUUCGUCAUGUGUCCAAUCCUGAGGGAAGUGAGUUGCCCAGGUUGAUUCUAUGACAUUUUCUCAAUAGCCUUCCCAUAUCAUAUAAGGUUGAGUCUGCCUUUAACUAUCAUGUUAACCAAUUAGACAGCAAUUAUGGAUGAAUAUCUGGAAGAGCUUUGCUUAUGUCGUGAUAAAAAAUAAAAAAAAUUCAUAAUGAGAAAAUUCAUAAUGAGUCUAGUAUUGGAUUUGUUGCUUCUUGAAGAAAAAUUCACUACUUUUGAAUGUAAAUGUGAUCAACUGCAUGGUCUCCCAUUCCUGUUUCUCAAGGGUUUCAUGUUAAGCCUACUAUUUAUUCUUCCUUGAUUGCAGGCAUGAAUGCAGUGUGUUGUUUAUGUUUUGGUGCUUUACAUUCUCAAGUAUGAAGCAAGAAGCUUAUUGGCAUCUUGGGUUUUGCUGGAACAAAUUAAAGAGCCUUUUUUUUUUUGGGUCUUUAUAUAGAGUAAUUCUCAAUAGACUGAAGUUUGGAACCUUUGGAAAAAAACAAGGAAGAAGUUUUAAGCACAGUAGAACGUGAUAGGAGCAUUGCUAGACUUACAGAUCUAGUAAUCUGCAUUUGUCCUUGCCUUAUGAAAUCCAACAAUGCAAUAAUUAUGAAAGAAACAUUAAAGUUGAACAAAUGAAUAUUCCUCUACUUGGUUUUUAGCAUGUUUUAUUUUGAUAGAUGGUAACUCUUAGUCAGUAUUCUCAACUUUUAUGGUUUUAAUAUUUUAGUGCAUGACAAAUUUCGUAUGUAUAUGAAGUUGGUUUCAUGUAUUGGAUUCUUCAGUUGUAAAUUUUUGACCAUUGAAUAAUUUGAUUCAAGUCAUCAGAAUCUUCUGUAUUAACUGUUGCCAAUGUCCCUUCUCCUUCGAUAGUACUGGUAUGUUACUUAUCAGUUUUUUAAACUGUUCAUGGCAGAUGACCCGUCUCUUUGGUGUGGACGAUGAAUUUGGUGAGGAUGCACUUCUGGGUAGGCUUGAGGGCAUGAAAGAUGUGAUUGAACAAGUGAAUAAGCAAUUCAAGGACCCAGUAAGAUCUCCCAUCCUAAAAUAUUUUCCGUGGCUAGACGCUAAAUCACUUCUGUAGCACAAAUCCACACUGAAGUUAUUCAUGUAGAAUUGGACCAUUCACCAACACCUUAAGGAUUUUUAAGACUUCCUGGGUGUGCCUGUGAACCAAAAAAAAAAAAAAAAGGUAAAGAAAGAAAGAAAGAAAGAAAGAAAGAAAAAACCACAGGUGAUUAUAAUUGAUAGAAGAAUCUUAAUAUUGUAAUUUUAUUCACCUGUCUUGUUGGUUAAGUAAUAUUUUUCUCAAUGCUAAUCUCAGCAGUGAUUAAUUAACUUAACCUUAAUUCUCAUUCCUCCUCUUUGAAGAAAAAAAGGAAAAUACGAUUCCAAUAAUUUUUGAAAUGCAACAUCUAUGAGCUGUGCAAAUAUAAAUUUUGUAAUACAAACUUUGAUGGAAAAAGGAAAUGUAUUUAAUAAUAGGAAUCAGAAAAUUUGCUGUUUAAGUCAGAACUCCAUAAUAGCUUCCCUACUGUUUCUCUGCCAAAGAACUGUUCAGCACAAGUAUGAUUUUUGCUUCCCCUAGGUAAUAACUCUUAUGUUUUGGUGUUUAAAGAUGGAGAAACAUUGCUGCUGCUUUUGUGGACAUCCGUUUGACAGUGCUACCCUUUGGCUUUCUCUAUCAAAACCUGGCUUAGUUCGAUAUACAUCUAUAAAACUUAUUUGAUAUUCAAGGCUAUCAUUCUUUGAAAUUCCUCAAAUCUCAUAUGAGGCAGCUAAACUUUGAUAAAGCACAGCAGUCAGCAUUUAGUUUCCCCAUCGAAGUUUUUGGGGCCAUGUAUGCAUGGAAGAUCACUUUCAGGUCUUCCUUGUUCUCUAUAUUGAUGCAGUCAUUAAUGCACUUGUGUUUCCCUUUUAACAGGACUUAACAACUUUUGUUUGUGUUUGCAUUCCGGAGUUCCUUUCUCUCUAUGAAACAGAGAGACUGGUGCAGGAACUGAAUAAAUUUGAGAUAGAUUCGCACAAUGUUAUCAUUAACCAAGUGCUUUAUGAUGAAGAAGGUGCAUUUACCACUUCCUUCACAUUUUUAUUCUCUUUUUCCCUGUCUGAAUGUGCUUGCUUGAAACAAGAGCUAACUAUUGCUUGGUCUUCUUUGUUAUUGUAGUUGUUGAAUCAAAGUUGCUUAAAGCAAGAAUGCGGAUGCAACAAAAGUACCUUGAUCAGUUCUACAUGCUGUAUGAUGAUUUUCACAUUACCAAGCUUCCUUUGCUACCAGAAGAGGUAGACUAGGCAUUGCUAAGAAUGCAGAAUUCUUUCACACACACACACACACACAUAUAUAUAUAUAUAUAUAUCUCAAGUUAUAUGUAUAAUUCAACUGGUUUGGGAAUUUUCACUAGUUUGCACGUAUUUGCAGAGUUUCCAAAUAAUUCCAGAGUGAGCCAACACAUUUAGUUUUUCCUAAUACAUACCAAUGAUUUUCUGCACUAAUUCAUUCUUGAAGUUAUAGUUUUUAUUUCUUUUAUUUUCUUUUUUUUGUUUUUGUUUUGUUUUCCCUUACAAAUGUUUCUACAAUUAUUAUUGGACUUUGCUUUUACCCUGACUUCCUUCUUUUUCUACAUGAUUCAUUCCUACAAUUUUUUGGAGUACAAACUGGUUCUAGGCCCAAACUUACUGUUGCCUGUAAAUGGUUAUUUUUCAGUUUGUUAUCAGCCCUUCAACUAAGUAAAUGUGCAUUUUUAGGUUUGUGGGGUUGAAGCUCUGAAAGCAUUUUCACAUAAUUUCAUAACACCCUAUCAGCCUGUCAUCGAGAAAGGCACAAUGGAAGAGCUGGAGGCAAGAGUGUCAAUGCUAAAGCAACAGUUGACAGAUGCUGAGGCAGAGCUUGAGAGACUGAGAAAAGGAAAACAAAAGGUCUGAUUAUACUUUAGUAACCAGUAUCAUCACUUGUUUCCCUUUUUUUUUUCUUUGAAUUUUUUAUUUCUCAUUUUUGCCAUGUUCACAAACGAUGGGCAUUCUCCCCUUUUCACUGGGCUGCCAAAAGAGGUCAUUUAUUUCUAAGCUGGAUUUGUGGUUCGAGUAGGCAUAAUUUAUUCUCUUAUUUUUUCUAUGUGCCAUUAACAUCACAAUAAUUGAGAUAGUUUGUUCUGAACAUUAUGUCAAACCAUGUGAUCAGUAUCACUGCAUAUACAGUCCAUUUGAAUUGCUCCAACCAUGAGCUAUCUUUCUCUAUAUUAAAAAUUCAGCAUUGCUUGUUUUAUUUUGGAAUUAUGAUCAGGUGGAUAUGACUGGGUUUGGAUCUCAUUUUUGAGGAGUGGACUUUGGAAACUAUACAAUUCAGCUAAACUGAAUGGAAAUGGAAUCCCCCAAAAAGACACUUUUCAAUGUUCUGUUGUUAUCGUCUUUGAUGAUCAAUGUUUUGUAACAUUUUGAGGGGCAACUUUUUUCCAUUGUUUUUGUUUGAUGUUGAGAGGACCUGAAAAGAUGGAUUCUGCCAUUAAAGUGCUUUUCUUGUUAACGAUGGUGUAUUUAGCCUCCUUGUGCCUAGAAAAUAUCUCAAGUUGAUUUCCUGGCAUACCAUUUUCAGAACUUGGUUCCCUGUCUAAUCGGAUAAUGCAGCAGGUUGGAAAGUUCUGCUGUUACUUGUAGGCUUUUAGCAGUUGAAUACCAAGUGUCUGGUGGACUGUUUUAUUGCUGUUGCUGAGUCCUGGUCUUGAUAAAAUGGUAUGGGCCCACAUAUACUGCCCCUCAGCAUAACCAAAAAAAGGAAAGAAAAAGGCAUAGCUGAACUGUCCUCUCUUUCUGAUGGAUUCAUGGAAAUGAUGAUAAGAGGAAUCUGUCAAAUGGGUAUAAGAUUGAGAACCCCCUCCGGCCAUAAUGCAAGACAAAAAAAAUAAAAUAAAAUAAAAUAAAGGGGCGAUACCUCCGGAAUGUAGAAAAGGAAGUAUGGAGGAAUAUCCUAAAAGCAUAUGCCAUUUGUGUUUUGAUCAAUUCUGGGUUGAAAGCCAUGGGGGUUUAUUAUAAAGCUUGCAAGGGGGAACCCUGGUGGAGCAAAAAGAGGAGGGUUUGCUGAGCUGACCGGUCUCAGGGCCUCUUUCACUUGGUAGGUGACAUAGAUGUGAAUGAUCUGCCAAAGGAGAGUUGCCCUGUGUCUGGUUAAGUUCAAUGCCAUGUUCUGCAUUCUGUUUCCCUAUUAUUAAAGAGGUAACAUCAUAGAAUUCAAGGUUUUUUUUAGCCUUUUUUUAAAUAAAAAAAAAAUUCCUAGUGAGAAAUGUGCAGAGAGAUACAUCCGGAGAAAUAUAAAAAGACCUGAAUUGCAGGUUGAGAUGGCCGAGUUGGUCUAAGGCGCCAGAUCAAGGUUCUGGUCCGAAAGGGCGGGUUCAAAUUCCACUCUCAACAUUAUAAAAUUUGUAUAGUUAUUUAAUAUUUAUUAAAUUUUAUUAUUUAUAAAAUAUUGUUAAAUGUAUUACUCAAAGUUGAGAUGGCCGAGUUGGUCUAAGGCGCCAGAUUAAGGUUCUGGUCCGAAAGGGCGUGGGUUCAAAUCCCACUCUCAACAUCAACAUUUUUGGGUUAUUUGGGAAGUAACAUCUGCAGCAGAUUUCUCUCACUUUUCUUUUCUAUCUGCCAAAAGUAAAAAAUGAUGGUUUUUGAGAGGUUUAGUGCUUAUGUUAAUUGAGGGCUUGUGUGGUGACACUUUACCCCCACUAGUACAAUGGUACGCAUGGAGACAUUAUGUUUUAGACAAGAUAAAAAAUAGGGGCUUUUGAGAGGCCUGAUGGCAUAUCAAUGCAUGAAAAAAGGUUAUGACUCUCUUCUAAGACCGUUCUAAAAUGUUGUCCAUAAUCAGUAGUACCCAACACAUUGAAAUUAAUAAACACUUCAUAAAAGAAAAAUUGGAUAAUAUAACCAACUUGAGGAUAUGUUGACCAAAGGUUUAAACAAUGUUGUUUUUCAGACUAUCAUUGGCAAGUCAAGCGUAGAUAACAUCCCCAAACCAUCUUGAGGGAGAGUGUGAGAAAACCUACUUUCACAUAAUAGGAGAUCGCAGAUAAUUGUAAAUAUUGUCAACCUAGAUUAAGCCAUUUGGGGGGUGAAAUAAUCCCUAAUAUUUGAGGAUUCAAAUUAGGAUAGAAUCAUUCUUGUAUUAUAGGAAUUUAAUAUUCUAGAUAGGGCAGAAGCUGCUCCUAUUUUCCAACCUAGAAUUGUGUACCUAUAAACUACUAAAUGUGCUAUCUAGGAUUGUAACACUUAGGAGAAAAGAAACAUUCUGAUUUCUUCACGGCAAGUAGUGUACCAACCUACAAAUACUCUUAAAACUAUUAGAACUAUAGCUACCAUAAAAAUUUAAGACAAUGUCAUCAUCUUCAGUAAAAUUCCCCAGAGCAUUGUUAAUACCUACUAAAUGGGCAAAAUGUCAUUCAAAACACCUACAGAUUCCAACCAAAAGACUGAAAAUCAAUGACCACUGUAAUACCUACUGAAAAGUCACCCUAAGAGAGAUUUUACAUUCAAAAUUCAAUCUGAUAAUCAGAUUAUAGUUAUUGUGACAUUUUGGAGUAACACGCCUGCCUCAUCUAUGUAUGAGCAAAAACAUAGAGUCACUGAGACACAGAAUUUAAGUAUUGGAGAAAUAGUCAACAUUUGUCUUUAAUCAUGAACUUAACACAGAUCAUGAACACCAAAAUCAUGAUACUAUCCACCAUGCAGGGUUGAGAUGAAAACAAUCACAUCCUUCUCUUCUAAUGUAGUAUCAAGCUGGCCACUCAGCUCCCAAUCACAAUCAUUGACAAGGACCAGAACCCCAGGUCUCCUGCAUGACAAAACAAAUUAGCAUGUAGAAACAGAAUGAUGAUAAAUUGCAUUAAGUAUUUGGUGUGUCUGCAGUGUUUUUUUUGACAUUUUAGCUGUCCUCCAUUUGGUUCUUGGAGACCAUAUCCCUCUGUGUCCAUGCUCCUAUCCAUAUUCCAUUAUAAAUCUCCAUUUCUUAUUAAAAAAAGGAUGGAAGGAAAAUUUGAUUUAUGAUAUAUUUAGCAGUUUUUAUGAGGCUUUAAAAGAACUCAUGGUUCAGUUUUUAAUGGUUAGAAAUGUUCCCUUUUUCCUUUUUUCCUUUUUUACUUUUCAUUUCUCCUCUUUUAAACAUUUCAAUACAUUUCAGCAGAAAUUUUUUCUAGGAAAACAUGAUGCCAAACAGCAUCAACUACACUUGUUUGUAAUUCACACUUUAAAGCAUACCUAAGCACCACCCUUUGAAAAUUUAAGGAAAUGCCAAAGUUGCUCAGAACUUACACAGAAUCUCCUUUCAUGAACAUCUCAGGCCUCUCCUUGAUCAAAUUGGCACGAACCCAAGAGAGCAAAUCUUUCAUGGUUAACUGAAAAGAAUAUGCAGAAAAUAAGCCUUAGCAGUCUAACUGAACAUUAAGGGGGAAAAAAAAAAGAAUAAUUUUCCAUGUUUUUCUUGGUAUCACUUGUUAAGAAUGAAGUUCACCUUCUCUUCACCAACUUGUGGAUCAACAUUUACACUAUGGAUCUUUACUGACUCACAUAGAAGCUCGAGCCCACCACUGCACCAAAAAAUUAAUGACUUCAUGUCAACAAUGGAGCAAUUUUUUUUAAUUGCAAAGGAACUUUAUCCAUAUAGAACAAGGCAUGGGAUCAACAUUCUACCAAACACAAAUUCAGAAACAAAAGCUAAGUCCAGUUACAAGACUCAGAACUCCUCCAAAUUUUUGUUUUUCCAAGCCACCACUAAGGAUGAGAGAAUUAAAAAACAAAUAAAGUUAUCCAACAGAUCAUUUAUUACUAUUAGGGAAUUCGAUAAAUAAAUUGAACUACAGUUCAAGCAACUGAUGAUAUUACCUUAAGUUUCUACAAUUGACUGCCUGAUAUAUAGAAUCCAUGUGAUUUGGAAUCCAUGGCAUCAUCAUCAGUUCCUUAGCCCAAAGGUUUGGACGUGAGCUCUCAAUGUGGAAAAAGGCAGUGUAUUUUGAAAGGAGGGAGACUUACUCUGAUUCAUAGUACUUUAUCCGGUUUAACUAUCUACUUUAUGUUUUUGUUCACCAACCCCAAUAAAAUUAGAUUGAAAGUCAAGAAGAUUCAAAGGGUUUCCCAUGGGGAGGGGACACAUUGGAGAAAAAGCUACACUUAAUGUAGAGAAAAGCCGAAGGAGAGGGCUUGGCAUCAGAAGUCCUUCUCUUAAUAGGGCCUUGUUGGGAAAGUGGAGUUGAAUACUUGCCUUUGAAGGAGAUGCCUUUUUGAACCAAGUUAUUUAGGACAAAUAUAGAGAGGAGGUAGGUUGGAGUUCUUACAUUGUGAGAGGCGGGUGGGGAUCGGGCUUGGAAAGCUAUUAGAAUGGGACCUUAUCAAAAGUUUCUUUUAAGGUAGGGGGUGGGAGGAGAGUGAAAUUUUGUAUGUAUAGAUGAUGUGGGAAAGAACCCUUACAUGUGUCUUUUCCCACCUUGAAUGCCUUAGUGUUACAUAAAGCAGCAUGGGUAGCAAAUGUUUGGGAGGAGCAAGGGGAGGGAGGCAUUGAAACCCUUGUUUUGCUAGACUUUUAAAUGACUGGGAGUUGGACAUCAUAACGUCUCUUUUCUUAAGAUUGCAUGGGAAUUUUGUCAAGAGAGAAGGAUUGGUUGGUAUGGGUGGACUCAAGGAAUGGUGCUUUCUCGAUAAAAUCUUUGUACUCUAUGCUAAAGUAGGGGUGCUCAAUUAUUUUCCUUGAAGACAUUGUUUAGAACUUGUGGGUCCUAACUAACGUGAGUUUUUUUGCCUAGGAAACUAGUUGAGGGAAGGUUUUAACUUUGGAACAACUUCAGAGGAGGGAUUGGUCCUUGGCAAAUAGAUAUCACCUUUGCGAAAGCAGAGUUUAAAGAUCAUAUCCUUCUUCACUGCCCUAAAGCUAGGGAGCUAUGGCACUUGAUUUUUUCUUUAUUUGGCGUCACUUGGGUUCUAACUUUGUUUGUUAAGGAGACCUUGUUAAGUUGGCAUGACUACUUUGUGGGAAGAAAGCGAAAAAAGGUUUGGAGAACUACCUCAUUGUGUAUUUUUUGGACUCUGUGGAAAGAGAGAAACUGAAGAGCAUUUGGAAAUGUAGAACAAUUGACUCAUUCUUUGAAAAGUUCAUUUGUUUUUUUUUUAUAAGUAAAGAAAAGUUGUAUAUAAAGAAAAGAGGAACCAAAAACAGUUCAUUUGUGAUUAAUAUGUUUUCAUAGGUUAAGAUGUACAUUGCCGAAGGCAAAUUGUCUUUAUUUGAGUUCGUAGAUUGGAUGGGGUCUAAUUAAGGAAGGGGCAGUUUUUUUGUAUUUACGCUUGUUGUGCUAGGCCUUUUGUUUACCGUGUAUACAACCCAUGUACCAUGGCAUAUAGGGCUUUUCAAUAAGAUUUUUUUCCUCUAGCUUACUUAUCCAAAGAAAAAAAAAAAGAAAAAAAGAAUGGCCCUCACUCUUUAUUCUACAUGUACUCCCCCAUCAAGAGCUAUAUUUUCCCAAAUCCUACAUUUGGUUCUUAGAAAAUUUGAAGAAAAAUGCAAUGGAAAGACAAUAGUGAGAAAAAUUAAAAGAAAAAAAACAGUGAAGAAAAAUAAGAAAUAGAUUUAAAAGUCAAUAAAUGAUUUUUACAUGCUUUUCCAAUUGCAUUUUACCUAUUUUCUUGUCCUACAUAAAGAUUAGAAAAUGCAUAAGUUUUAAAUUAAUUUUAAUUAUAUUUUAUUUUCUUUCAUAUUUCUCAUGGUGAACCAAACAUGAGAAAAUCAUUUUCUUCUGUGUUCUUUUGUUUUUCUUAGUACUUUCCAAGAACCAAAUAUAGCAAAAGAGUAUAGUAAAGUAACCUCAACCAAGUAUAUGACACCUUUCUAGUUACUACAACCAAAAAGUUAAACAUCAUAGAAACCGAUAAUAUAUGGCACACUAUAAAACCAUUGCCAUAAAUGCUCUUCUCUGUCUUUUGAACACAUGAACAAAUACAAGCCUAUCUAUCUUAUGAUAAAGAUGUGAACCAUCUUCACCAAACAGUACUCCACCUUUCAAAAACCAUGCACGUAUCUCACAACUACAGCUCUUUCUUUUCCGUGGUCUAGGGUUUCUCACACCAAUCAAACUGCAACUAAACUGUUCCUAUCCUUCCAAUUCAAGACAAAAUGCCCAAAACCCGCCCCUUAACGACACCCAAUUUCCUUAGUUGCAGAGAUAAGAAUUUGAAUUAAAAUAUGUACAACAUUUUCUUAAUUACCAAUCAAACUGUGAGAAUUCAGAUCUUUUAUAAUCGAUUAAGAAAUUGUUCUAUAUAUGAUCCAACAAACAUAAUUAACAGUCUGCUAAACAGAAACAAUUAGUGAAAUAUCAUCAAAAUCAAACAGAAAAAACACAAAAAAAAAAAAAAAAAAUAAACUUGAAAACCAACAAAUUUCGGAAUUCCGAUUUCUUAACGACCAGAAGACGAGACACGACCGAUUAGCAAAGAGAAAUAAACGAAAAACAAUAAUUACCCGAACUCAAGAGUCAGUUGCAUCCCCAAAAAGAAAAUUCCGAACCGAAGACGAGAGAAAAUUUCUAAACCCUAGGUAGAAAGCAAAAGCAGAAACAGAGAUGGGCUUUUCUUUUCGGUCCAACCAAAGCCCUAAAUGGUUAAUGGGUCUGGAGUGGCGGCAAGAAUUUGAGCCCUACCUACCAUGUUGCUUAAAUCCUAAGCAUAUUAUACCUCAACGUUUAGUUUUGCUAACUGUGGAUAAUUUUAAAUUUUAGAAUUAAGAUAAUGAAAUUAAUUUAUUCUCUCAACUUAUCGCUUAUAAAUUUUGUUUUCUCUUUCAAGAUGAUUGAGUAGGAUAGAAGGUGAGACACAAGAUAGAAACAUAAGAAGGCUCAAGGGAGGAGUAUUGAAGCGACUAAACUAGUAGUCCAUAUAUAAUUGGGGAUGGACAGAGCAUUUUGAAGGGGCGUUUAGAGAUGGACUCUUAGGGGUCUCCCAUGCCUCUUUUUAUUAAUCAUGUCGAAAUUGGUUUGAUACAUACAUAAUCUAUCUUGUUGCCAACUCCGUCUAUUAAACCAAAACCCUCAAUAUAUUUUAAGAACUCCAUGGUGGGAGGGUCAAGUAAAUUAUCAAGGUGUAUUAGUUCGAUGUAGGACCUACCUAAUUUUGCUUCUUAGUCGAAUAGAUGUAAUAAUAUUAGUGUUCAAAGUUUUGAGUAAAAUGGUUUUGAGGGAAUUUUGAGACUAAAAGGAAGAUCAUGGGAUGAUAUAGACUCAAGCAAGGUACCCCCACUAUUCAUAAAAUGAGAGGCGCAUGCAUGCCAACACCGUCUAUACAAAAGGUGAGGUUAAUAUCACCUCAUGAGGGAAUAAAUCAAUACCUACUUUGCAUGAGGAAUUAGGCUAAUAUCACCUUGUGUGGUGAAUGGAGUAACUGAGAGAAGAGUGAGGUGGGGAAGGAGUGUAAGCGACACUACUCUUUGCUUGGAUAUUUGGUCUAAUAAACACUUUAGAAUGACCUUGGAAAUAAGCUCUUAGGUAUCUUAAACCGAAAAUUGUUUUAGUCCUCAUAUUCUUCCAUUGUUUAUAAAUAAACCUUUUGAACCACAUGUAUAUAUAGAUGUAGAAGUAUAAGAUUGAAUCCCAUUAAUUAAUGAGGCUCAACUAGUGUGAGGCCUCUAUAUACUCAUAUCAAUGAGCUCUUAUACCAAUAUCCUUAUGCUAUUGCUUGGCCACAUGACAUUAGAUGCAUGCCGAUGGGUCCCUUGGUGGCAACAUGCCUCCUCUUCUUAAUCUAGUUGGAAGAUUCGAAGCAUGCACAAUUUAUCCUACUUUGACAAGCCGCUAAUUCUAUAUACUAGACCAAAGCCUUUAGCAUGUCCUAAGAACUCAAUCGUAGAGAGCCAAGCCCACCCCACCAAGGUGCAUUUAGCCUUAUUUUUUUACUUAGGUAGGUAUAAUAACAUUUGCUACACCAUAAGGGGGACAAUUUUGUGGGAGUAUAGAGGCCAAGUGGAGAGGCCAUAAGAUGAUACAAACUUGAGCAAGACACUCCCAUAAGAAAAGUAAAAUACACCAACCUUGCAUGAGGGAUCAUGUUGACAUCACCUUCUGGUGGUCUAGGUCAGUUGACCUUGUGACACCACCUCUACAAGUUUAAAAGGCUCAAUCAUUAUCUCCUCAUGCAAGGAAAUAGUGAUAUCUCACUAAUUAUCUUCCUAAUUUGAAGCUAAUGGUACACUUCCUCGGUAUCCAUCAUAGGUAGAUAGACAUUUACUAUGAUGGGGUAUUUACUAUGAUGGGGUCAACACCAAUGCCAAGAGUGUCUUCUAAUCUUUCAUAAAGUGUGUUAGUGCAUGUAUUAGUGACAUAAGACGUGUAAUUGAGUGAUUGGAGAGUCCUCUUAUAUGCAUGAUGGCACAUUGUUGGUGAUCCAACACAUUGCAUUGAAACAUACAGUGGGAGUAUGGAGGUCCACAUGGAGUAGUGAGUGAAAUUGGACAUUAAAAAAAGAUUUGAUUUUUUUUCUAAUUAUUCAAUGGUAGGUGAUAACUUUAAUCAACUCUCUAAUUAUACUUUCAAAUGAUUGACAAACCUAAUGUCAAAGAUUCCAAAUCAUACAAAAAUGCCCAAUGCUUAAAAUCCUAAUUUAGGGUAUUUGCCUUAUGGCUUUAAAAUAUAUAUCAAAAUGAAACAACAUAUUCUAAAAAAAUAUUCAAAAAGCACAAAUGAAAUUAUUUCUAAAUUUACAACACUUUAUGCCACAUGAAUUUCUUCAGCAUAUAAGCUACUUAUAUGAAAGUCAAUAAAUGCAAAACUGAGUAUGCCCAUUUUGGACUUACCUACAUCAAAGGUACCCCAUAAAUGCUUCUUUAGUACCCUUACUGCGACAAGACCUCACUUGAGAGCACAGCAAAAUCUGGAGAAGUGCUUUCUUUUUUAGUAGUUUCUCCAAAAAAAUGAUUAGGAGGAAAAUUUUCAAUUCCAAUGUGGCUUGUUCCAAUUAAAGGUGCCACACAAAAUGCCCAUUAAGAACUACGUACAAAUGUGGCAGGCACACAAAUGGUAACACAAUAUUGAAAAUGUGGAUGGAUAAGGUGUUCCUUUUCUAUCAUUAUCCCCAUAAACAUGAUUGGAAAAAAAAAAUUCUAUUAUUUUCUAGCUUUUUCUAGUCAUGCUGCCGUGUCAUGACUCAUGUUAAAGAGUACAAAUAGUGGUCCUUAGAAGAAUCAAACUUGGAUUUCAUCACUCAAAUGAAAGACUCCUAAAAUUUAAUUGCUUCUUUUAAUGAUAAUUAAUAAAUUGUCCACCAAGACAACAAGUAAUUAUCCGUCUCCACUCAACUAGAUGAAACUAAUUAAAUAUACCCUUAAAAGCUUAAUAAGUAAUAGUAUUCUAAUCUCUCAUUCUCAUGUUCAUCGGCAGCUGUUUUUCAUGUCCCUUUAUCCAAACAAGGCGUGCUGUAGUGGGGUGGAAUUUGAUUUGAUUAAUUUUAAGGUAGUGAGCACAAAAGGGCUCUUAUUUCUUUGCCUAUUUAACCACUCUUCAACUUUGGUCAUUCCUCACUCUUUUGGGUUGAGAAAAAAACAGGUGAAGUUACACAAGAAGCCGUUAGUUGUGUGCUUGUGUGUGUUUGAUGGGGUCUUAGGUCCAUUUCUUCUUGGUGCUGAUGUCCUUUGAACAUCUAAAGCCCAGGGCCUCGUCUUAGGUGGAAAGAUCCCUUUGUAUCAUUGUGUAAGUGAUGAGUAUCUCCGAGUGCCCUUGGAUGUUACUGGGUGAUCAAUCUAUGGCAACUAGAAGAGAUCAGACAAACCAAAGCUUUGCCCGCCUAACUGUUGGAAUGUUUGGAAGCAGCUUCCAAAUAGUUUUGAUCAUGAUUUCUUACUCUUCACCAAUUGUCUGAUCUACAUAUAUGUAGUUUGGAGUACAGUUAGUUUAAUAUGAUAUUGAAGUUCUGGUUCUCCAAUUUCUACAUGUUAUCCCCCCUUCUCUGUAUGCGAGUUGUAUGACAUAAAUGUUUGUAUUAAUAUAUAUUCUUCUUUUUCAAACUGCAGACACCAUGAUGUUUAGAACAUCACUUCUAUUGCUGGCUUUCAUGGCUGCUGCAACUUCAAUUGCUUCGACAGACAGACAAACAUAUGUAGUUCACAUGGACAAGACCAGGAUCACAUCUUUAGAUGGUAUUCUUGGUGAUUCCAGAAAAUGGUAUGAAGCAGUUAUGGAUUCCAUCAAUGAACUCUCAAUUCAAGGAGGAGGCGAAGAAGAAACAUCACCUCCCGAGCUCCUUUACACCUAUGAAACUGCCAUCACUGGCUUUGCUGCAAAGCUCUCCAUCAAGCAGUUGCAGGCCUUGAACAAAGUUGAGGGGUUUCUCUCAGCUGUUCCUGAUGAAUUACUAGGUCUCCACACCACACACUCACCUCAGUUUCUUGGCCUGCAUACUGGGAGAGGACUAUGGAAUGCUCACAACCUGGCCACUGAUGUGAUAAUUGGCAUUGUUGAUACUGGAAUCUGGCCUGAACAUGUUAGUUUUCAAGAUAGGGGCAUGUCAUCGGUGCCCUCUCAAUGGAAAGGAGCUUGUGAGGAAGGCACAAAGUUCACACAUUCCAAUUGCAACAAGAAGCUUAUUGGCGCAAGAGUCUUUUUCAAAGGGUACGAAGCCAUUAGAGGGAGAAUCAAUGAAUUGGUGGAUUUCAAAUCCGCUAGGGACUCACUGGGCCAUGGAACGCACACUGCAUCAACUGCAGCUGGUAAUGUGAUACCUGGAGCAAGCCUUUUCGGUAGGGGAAAGGGCUUUGCAAGGGGAAUGAGAUAUACAUCAAGAAUUGCUGCAUAUAAAGCUUGUUAUGCUGGUGGCUGUGCAAACUCUGAUAUAUUAGCAGCAAUAGACCAGGCUGUUUCCGAUGGGGUUGAUGUAUUGUCACUGUCCGUGGGAGGUGACUCAAAGCCUUACCAUAUUGACAGUAUCGCUAUAGCUUCCUUUGGGGCAGUCCAAAAUGGUGUUUUCGUUUCUUGUUCUGCGGGAAAUUCAGGGCCUUCUAGUUCAACUGUUGCCAAUUCCGCACCUUGGAUCAUGACAGUUGCUGCAAGCUCCCUCGAUAGAAGCUUCCCUACUAUAGUUAAGCUUGGCAACGGAGAAACUUUUCAUGGGGCAUCGUUGUACUCUGGGAAAGCAACUAAGCAACUAUUGCUUGCUUAUGGAGAAACUGCAGGUCGUGUUGGAGUUAAUUAUUGCAUUGGUGGCACGCUUUCUCCCAAUCUCGUAAAAGGGAAGAUUGUUGUAUGCAAACGAGGCGUGAAUAGCCGAGUUGUAAAGGGGGAACAAGUGAAAAUGGCAGGUGGUGCUGGAAUGAUACUGCUGAACACUGAAGCUCAAGGGGAGGAGCUUGUUGCUGAUCCCCACGUUUUACCGGCCAUUUCUUUAGGGGCUUCAGCAGGUAAAUCCAUAAUAAACUAUGUAAAUUCUGGGAAUUCUACUGCUUCUAUUGUAUUCCGUGGGACUGCAUAUGGGAAUCCUGCGCCUGUAAUGGCAGCAUUCUCUUCAAGAGGCCCUGCUUCAGAAGGGCCUUAUGUGAUCAAGCCCGAUGUGACUGCUCCAGGCGUGAACAUACUGGCUGCAUGGCCACCAACUGUAAGCCCAACCGGGCUCAAAAGCGAUAACAGAAGUGUACUAUUUGAUGUACUCUCCGGGACAUCAAUGUCUUGCCCUCAUGUUAGUGGCCUAGCCGCGCUUCUUAAAUCAGUUCACAAAGAUUGGUCACCCGCCGCCAUCAAGUCAGCCCUGAUGACAACUGCUUAUACUCUAGACAACAAGAGAAGUCCAAUUUCAGAUUUUGGUUCUGGUGGCUCAUCAGCAACCCCUUUUGCAUAUGGUUCAGGCCAUGUGAAUCCAGAGAAAGCCUCCAAACCAGGGCUAAUUUAUGACAUUACAACUGAGGACUACCUCAACUACUUGUGUAGCCUUAACUACACCUCUUCUCAGAUAGCUCGAGUGUCAAGAAGGAUCAGUUUCACUUGCCCAAAUGACUCAGUUCAUCUUCAACCUGGAGACUUGAACUAUCCUUCAUUUGCAGUACUUUUCAAUGGCAAUGCCCAAAAAAACCGUGCCACAUACAAAAGAAGUGUAACAAAUGUUGGGUACCCUACUACUACCUAUGUGGCACAGGUGCAGGAACCAGAAGGAGUAUCAGUCAUGGUUAAACCUAAUGUUUUAAAGUUUAAAGAACUCAAUCAGAAACUGAGUUACAAGGUGAGUUUCGUUGCAUCGCGAAAAACAUCAACUUCUUCUAGUUGGUCUUUUGGAUCUCUAGUUUGGGUGUCUAGGAAAUAUAGAGUUAGAAGUCCCAUUGCAGUAACUUGGCAGUAGCUUGAAGACUAAAGAACGGCCGGCUGUUCCAUUUAAGAGCAUAUAUAAAAUAUCAUACUUUAUAUGAUGAAUGGUUUCAUCAGCGCUACCAUUUGCCAUUUUGGGGGAUAUAGUAAGAAAAAAUUUCAUCCUUCUCCAUCAUCAUCAAUGCUUUGUCAACUGAUAUUCAUUCUACAUUUUUGAAAAUGGUAAUGCCAUCCAAAAUUGAAACCAAUUUAUCAAAUGCAUAAGUAGUUUUUUCAUUUGAUAUUAUCUACGUACUGCAUCAUCAAUUUAAUUUUAAUUGAUUGGAUCUCAAAUGCAUUACAUUAUUUGCCAUCUUUUGCUUUUGGACAUUUCUACACUUUAGUUUCCUCAGCUGAAGAUUGAACAAUUACUUUAAUCUUCUCCAAUCUCUAAUGGAUAGUUUUCAAUGAGGUGCUUAAAAAAAAAAUUGCCAAUGAGAAUGAAUUUGCUUAAUGUUCUCAUUAUUUCAUAGAAGACCCCUUCAAGGAGGAGAGUUCAACAAAGCCAAGCUCUGGGGGUUGAUCUUUUUAAGAAUAAGCUUUGUCCAAGAAAGCCCUUUCCAUGUAUAUAUAUAUAUAAGGGUCUUCAAAAAGCCCACGGCCCAGGCCCGAGCCUAUUUCUGGAUGGGCCGGGCCACAGUCCCCAAUUUAGGCCCGGACUGGCCCGCUUGUAGGCCCAUAGGCUGCCCGUAGGCCCGCCACUUAAAAAAAAUGUAUAUACAUAUAUAAAAAAAGAUAUUCAAAAAAUAGAAAAUGCUACAUUAAUAAAAAUAUUCAUUGCUAACUAUUUUAUUAAUUGAAUGUAUACAUUACAUUUGAAAAUGUGGGAAAAGUUUACAUCACUACAAAAUAAGUACAUCCCAACUAGGUUGGCAUCCACUUAUUUAUCAAUCAUUUGUACUUUUCAACCACAAAAAAUAAAAAUAAAAAUAAAAAUAUGACAUACAUUUAGUAAAAUAUUUUAAUCAUUAUCUUUUGGCGGUGAUGGCGAACUAUCGCAAAUUCAUGAAGAUCUUGAUGAUUUUAGUUUUUCCAUAUUGGCAAACAUAUUUUCUUCUUGAAUAGAAUCAAAUAUCCUUUUAUCUGCUAUUGCCUAGUCUUUCACACAUAUAUUUGCUUCAAUAGAAUCUGGCGUUAAGCUGCAUCGUUUAUCACUAACUACUCUUCCACCUACACUAAAAGCAGCUUCUAAUGCAACUGUACUCACAGGAACUGUUAGUACAUCACGAGCAAUGAUAAAAAAUACAGGAUAUUUGUGUUGUUGUGAUUUCCACCAUAUUAAAAUAUCAAAAUCUUCAUCAUCUUCAAAUGAAAUUAAAUCAGUAUUAAGAUAUCUAUCUAAAUCAGUUGUGUUGUUUGGAGAACUAUUUGUUGUCUUCUUUCGACUUUUCAACAUUUCUAGAGCUCCUUUAUAAAAAGAUGAAGAGCUUGUAGAUGUAGGUGGUAAUUUAAUAGAACUAAUAUCAUCACCAUAUUUUUCUUUAUAAUAGUUAUAUAAAUUAUAUAAUAAUGAAUUUUUUUCAUUUUUAAGUUCUUCAAUUUUUAUUUGGUCAUUAAAAUAAAUAAUUGUUAACCAUUCAUCCAAAGCUUCAAAUUUCAAUCUAGGGUCCAUAAUUAAACCAAGAUAAAAAAUUAAAGGUAUUUCUCCCCAAUAUUUUCUAAAUUUUUCUAUCAUUGCAAAUAUUACAUCAUUAAAUAUAUCCAAAUUUAAAUAUUUUUUAAGUACAAUAAAAAUAUUAGUUAUUUGCAUAACAACUCGGUUUGAAGAUGGAUAAUAUACACCACAAAUUUUUUUUGUUAAAGUAUCAAAUACUUCAAAAAGAUCUCUUAAAAGAUCUGCAAUAUGCCAAUCAUAAUCAUUUAAUACAUCAAUAUCUGUUUCACAAUCAUUGCUAAUUAAUUGUAUUUCAUAUAGUUCUACUACUUUUCUAUAUUUUAUAAUAGUUUAUAAAAGUUUAUAAGUGGAAUUCCAUCUAGUGGGCAUAUCCAAAUUUAUAUUUCUUUUUUUUCAUAUUUAACAUUUUGGAACAAUAAAAAAAUAAUUCAUGUUUUGCUUGAGAACUAUUAAGACCCGCAGCAAUGCCUCUAAUUUUUUGUAAUGUAUCAUCAAUGUGUUUUAAUCCAUUUUUUACAAUUAAAAUUAAAAUAUGUGCACAACAACGCUCAUGAAAUAUUUUUCAUUGAUUUUCUUUUAUUUGCCAAUAUCGUUUUAAUCUAUAUACUGCUGCAUCAUUAUUAAAAGCAUUAUCUAAUGUUAUUGUAAAUAUUUUAUCACGAAUGCCAAAAUCUAUAAUUUCAUCAUUUAUUAAAAAUGCUAUAUUUUUACCAUUAUGUGGAGCAUUUAUUAUUUUAAAUGAAAUAAUUCUUUUAUUUAAUUUCCAUUCAUUAUCAAUAUAAUGAGCAGUUAUACAUGAAAAAAACCACUGUGAGUUAAAGAUGUCCAAAUAUCAGAUGUUAAACAAAUUCUUCCUUCAAAAUUUGCAAAAAAAAAAAAUUUGAAUUUUCUUUUUGUGUUUCAAAAUUUUUUAUAAGACUUCUUUUAACCGUAUUUCCAGAGCAACCUUAAAAUUGAGGAUUAACAGCUCGUUGCAUUGUUCCCGUAUAAUAAUGAGUUUCCAUGAAAUUGAAAGGUUGUUCUGCUCUUAUUAUAUAAUCAGUCAUUUCUUCACGACAAUAAGAUUCAUCAUAAAAAAAAUGUUUUUAAAUUUCCACUUUCAUCUUUACCUAAUUGCAUAUAAUUUCUAAUAUCUACAUUAUUUUUAGUUUUAUAAUUUUCAUGAUGCCUUUUUAAAUGACUUGUACUUGCAUUUAAACCACCACUAAGAAGUUUGUUACAAAUUUUACAUUUUGCUUUUAUUUCUUUUUUAUUAUUUUCUAAAUUUAUUUCUAUUCUAUCAAAAAAAUUUCAUAUAUUUGAAGUAAAUUUUUUGUUAUCACAUGCAUUAGAUGAAGAACAAUAACCACUUGUCAUAAUUAUAAUUAUUGAUAAAAUAUUAUGCUAAAAAUAAUAAAUGUAAAAUUAAAAUGUAACAAAUAAAUAAAAGAAAAGGUGAAGUAUGUUACUAAAUUGGAGAACCGAAGCAGAAAUUCCUUCAAAUUCGAACUCUUUGAGCCACCAAUACUUGUUUUUCACCACCAAUAAUAUUGAAUAAUUUGAGACAAAAUGCAAUAAUUGGAAAUAUUGUGGAAUGGGAGAGAGCUUAAGAGUUGAGAGAAUGAAAUAAAUUGAGGAUAUUUAAUAUUUAUAGGGAGGUAUGUGACCGUUAAGAUUUAAUUUUUUUUUUAACUGCCAAGAUGACUGUUCAACGGUCAUAUACUUUGAAAUUUAACAUUUGAAGUGAGUGGUUUGUUCAACGGUCAUGUGACUGUUGAACAGUCAACUCACUUUUUUUUUUUUCAAAAAUCAUACAAUAUUUAUAAUAUAUAUAUAUAUAUAUAUAUAUAUAUAUAUAUAUAUAUAUAUAUAUAUAACUAAUGCAAAAUAGUUGCAUAAAAGAGGGACAACUUAAUUGGUGGUUGGCUCUUCUUGAAAUCCACAAGGGAAGUGUUCAAAUCCCCCUUCCUUUAAAACUCAAAAGACAUUUUAAUUUUUACCCAAGCCCGCCCGCCAAGCCUGGCCAGCCCAUUGACUGGUCAACGGGCUCAGUGGCCCACCCCGAGCUGGGCCAUGGGCCUUGCUCCUCCGGGCAGGGCGGCCCGGCCCGUUGGAGACCCUUAUAUAUAUAUAUAUAUAUAGGAAGUUAGAUGAAGGGGGUUCCUUUAAGUGGAUGGUUAUGAGGAGGAACUUCCAAGAAUGGGGACCUCCCUUAAGGGAGAGCCCAAAUAAUGUGGUGAAAUAUUUUUACAGUGCUUAAAGGUUUACCUUUUUGAAAAUAAAUUAAGUCCAGAGAGUAAAUGCAAAUAGCCUUUUUUCUACUUAACCAAGCUCUAUAAUAUCACGUUGAAGUACCAAUUUUCCUAAUCAUGCUCUUUAACAUGUUUUAAGGCUAUUCUUCUGUCAUAGCAUGCCGUCUCCUUCUUAGCUAAAUGUGGUUAAAGAAACAAGGACAUUGGUGUGGUGCCAACCAGGUCCCCUUUGAUGCCUAGAAUAGGGAGAAAUCAUGCAUUCGUAGAAAAAGAGGAAAGUGGGGGUGAAAUCAAUACCUCUCCAUUUUAAUAGAAGAAAAGGAUUAUGAGUUCUCAUUUUUUAUUCUAUCAAUCUUCUACAUGUCCAUGAACUUAAUGUCUGCUUUUUUUUUUUCUUUAUUAUUAUUAUUAUUAUUAUUCAUGUGGUUUAUAUCACAAGUGCACGACAAGGUGAAACAACCAGACUAGCUAGUUUUCAGAAAGGAAGGCCAAAAAGAACUUUGUUUAGUUUUUCUUUUGUAAAAGUGUGCUAGUGUGCUCAACCACCUUCACAGUACACUCAUCUGUUGGCAAUAAAAGUGGCAAUAGCUUAAAAUGGGACAAAAGGGAAGAAGACUCUGAUGAUGAGGGCAUAUGGUCACACCCCAUGAGCUGGCUGGUCCCAUCAAGAUGGUCCCCAAAGAGGGGUUAUUGGAUUUCUUUUUACCAACUAUAUGCCUCAUCACUACUACCGGUGAGAAAGCAAAAAAAAUGAUGUGUCAAAUGCUACACCCCUCUUCUCAUGCUCUACCAAACCCACUUGUCAAUUCCCAUCACUCCCACCCCCUAGUGGCAUUUUUUAGGAAUGAGGCAUAUAAUUCUAACUCCUUAAUUUUCUUUCGGUUCUGAGUUGAUUCCCUAAGUUUUAUUUUAGAUGUUUGUCGGAUUUCAGAAAAAGAAACAAGCGAUACUUCAUCUUUGAUAGAUGUUAAUCAAUUUUCUGAUCAAUCUCUCUAUCAUCAAAGGUUCCAAAUUGCUAGACCCUCGAUCACUCUAGAAAUUGGGUGAUCCAAUGUCAAUUCUUUAACCACUAUUAAGAUGUUUUGAUCUCUAUGUAGAAGCUCAGCUAUCUUCACUCACAAGUCAAAUGAGGAGAUGAUUAACUUGUCAAUUCGUUUGUGACAUCAAGUUUGAGAAUCUACCCUUUAAUGGAAAAGCUACAUGAUUAGUGGGUCACUAGACGACGGAAUGUUAUUGAAUCAUGUUGUUUUAGAAUCUUAUGCUGGUAAUAGACCACCUUACAUUCUCUAGCUAUUAGAAAAUGUGAAAGAAACAAGACCCAGAAAAUCACAAAUGCCCACUGAGAAGCACGAAUGUGUCAAGCUCAUAAAUGACACAGCACAUAAAAGAUCUGGAAAAAGGGUUCCUUUUCUCUAGCAUUUUCCCGAGAAACAUGAUUGGAAAGAAAAUUUUCCAAUCCUUUCUCUAGCUUGUUCCAAUAAUAAGUACCCAGAAAAUGCCCAUCAACAACUACAAACGUGACAAGCUCAAAAAUGGGAGAACAGUAUGAAGAAUUUGGAUAAGGGUUUCCUUCCCCACCAUUUUCCUUUAGAGGCAUCAUUCAACACAACAUAAAAUGAAAGACUCCUAAAGUUUAAGACCCUCUUUGGUUGUAUAAGUAUAAUCAAGUGUCCAUGAAGACAUGUAAACACCUCUCUCCACUGAACAAUACGAAACUACACUCCUACAAGUAAUUGUAAGCAGAAGUGCUUUUCUUACACCCUCAAAAUUGGAUUUUCCAAAGCGGGUUGAUCAGGGCGUAGGGCAGUCCCACAUCUCUCACUCUCAAGUUGAUUUUGCAGCUUUAUUUCGUGUCCCUUUUUCAAAACCAAGGCGUGCUGUUUUGAGGAAAAGGAGAGGUAGUGGGUAGAUACUUUGAUCGUAAGUCAGUUAGUUAUUAUGUCAACUCUAUGUGGCACCUUUCUUUGCCUAUAUAAGCCACUCUUCAACUUUGGACAUUCUUCACCCUUUUGAGGACAAAACAGAGGUACAGUUGCGCAAGAAGUUGUUAAUUAGUUGUGUGUUUGUGUGUGUAUAAUGGGCUGUUAGGUCCAUUCCUUCAUGGGUUUGGGUGGUGAUAUUCUUUUCUGUCUCAUGUGAUCAGUAGGAUAACAGUAUAACACCUUAGUAUGUGUAUCAGCAGUUCUGCCACUGGGUCGGGGUCGGGUUGGUAGUACUAGUAAGGCAUGUUGCUGCAUACGGGUCUUUAGGCCCAUUCCUAAAUUGGCAUCUAGUUCAAAUGUAAGUCACAUAGAAUCAUGUCUAGCUAGCUUGCUUGGCUUGUAGUUUUGCUGCUGGGCUCGGCCUAGGUUUGCCUGGUUUGAUCUCCAAAUGUUCUUGGGUGUCACCGGCAGUUCAAUUGUUAAUUAUCAAAGCUCUAGUCUUCUGAUCUUUGCUCACGUUACCCCCCAUAAUUAGUGACUAAUUCACUUGACAUAAUGUCCCUACUAAUACAUAUUCUCCUCUUUCAAACAGGCACCACAAUGUUUCGAACAUCAUUUUUGUUGUUGGCUUUCAUGGCUGCCGCAACUUCAAUUGCUUCAACUGACAAACAGACGUAUGUAGUUCACAUGGACAAGGCCAAGAUCACAGCUUUACGCCUUGCUCUUGGCGAUUCCAAGAAAUGGUAUGAAGCAGUUGUUGAUUCCAUCAUUGAACUCUCAACUCAAGAUGAAGAAGAAGAAACAUCUCCUCCUCAGCUCCUAUACACUUAUGAAACUGCCAUGACCGGCUUUGCCGCAAAGCUCUCCAUCAAGCAGUUGCAAGCCUUGGACAAAGUUGAGGGGUUUCUAUCAGCUGUCCCUGAUGAAUUACUAAGUCUCCACACCACACACUCACCUCAGUUUCUUGGCCUGCACAAGGGGAAAGGACUGUGGAGUACUCACAACUUGGCUACUGACGUUAUAAUUGGCAUCAUUGAUAGUGGAAUCUGGCCUGAACACGUUAGUUUCCAUGACUGGGGCAUGUCACCUGUGCCCUCUAAAUGGAAGGGUGCCUGCGAGGAAGGCACAAAGUUCACAUCUUCCAACUGCAACAAGAAGCUUAUAGGUGCGAGAGCCUUUUUCAAAGGCUAUGAGGCCAGAGCCGGGAGAAUCAAUGAAACAGUGGAUUACCGAUCUGCUAGGGACUCCCAAGGUCAUGGGACACACACUGCAUCAACUGCAGCUGGUGAUAUGGUAGCUGGAGCUAGCAUUUUUGGCAUGGCCAAGGGCUCUGCCAGUGGAAUGAUGUAUACAUCAAGAAUAGCUGCCUACAAAGUUUGUUAUAUUCAAGGUUGCGCUAACUCCGAUAUAUUAGCAGCAAUAGACCAGGCUGUUUCCGAUGGGGUUGACAUCUUGUCACUCUCUUUGGGAGGUGCCUCAAGGCCGUAUUAUAGUGAUAGCUUGGCUAUAGCUUCUUUCGGGGCAGUUCAAAACGGAGUUUUAGUUUCUUGCUCUGCAGGAAAUUCAGGCCCUUCUAGUUCAACAGUUUCCAAUUCCGCACCAUGGAUCAUGACCAUUGCUGCAAGCUCCCUUGAUAGAAGCUUCCCUACUAUAGUUAAGCUUGGUAAUGGGGAAACAUAUCAUGGGGCAUCUUUAUAUUCUGGCAAGCCAACUCAUAAACUAUUGCUUGCUUAUGGAGAAACAGCGGGCAGUCAAGGAGCUGAAUACUGCACUAUGGGCACACUCUCUCCGGAUCUGAUAAAAGGAAAGAUUGUUGUAUGUCAGCGAGGCAUCAAUGGCCGAGUUCAAAAGGGGGAACAAGUGAGAAUGGCGGGUGGAGCUGGAAUGCUACUGCUGAAUACUGAAGAUCAAGGUGAAGAACUUAUUGCUGAUGCACACAUUUUACCAGCCACUUCCUUAGGGGCUUCAGCAGCCAAAUCCAUAAUAAAAUAUGCAAGCUCCAGGAAUCCAACAGCUUCAAUUGUAUUCCAAGGGACUGUGUAUGGCAAUCCUGCGCCUGUAAUGGCAGCAUUCUCUUCAAGAGGCCCUGCUUCAGAAGGGCCUUAUGUGAUCAAGCCCGAUGUGACUGCUCCAGGCGUCAACAUACUGGCUUCAUGGCCACCAACAGUUAGCCCUACUCGGCUCAAUACGGAUAACAGAAGCGUACUAUUCAAUAUAGUCUCUGGGACAUCAAUGUCUUGCCCUCAUGUUAGUGGCCUAGCCGCGCUUCUUAAAGCAGUCCACAAAGACUGGUCACCCGCAGCAAUCAAGUCAGCCCUGAUGACAACUGCUUAUACUCUAGACAACAAGAGGGCUUCAAUUUCUGAUAUGGGUUCUGGUGGCUCACCAGCCACCCCAUUCGCUUGUGGUUCAGGUCAUGUCAAUCCGGAGAAAGCCUCUGAUCCAGGGCUAAUUUAUGACAUUACAACCGACGACUAUCUCAACCACUUGUGUAGCCUUAACUACACCUCUUCUCAGAUAGCUCUAGUGUCAAGGGGGAUCAGUUUCACUUGCCCAAAUGACACACUUCAUCUUCAACCUGGAGACUUGAACUACCCUUCAUUAGCAGUACUUUUCAAUGGCAAUGCCCAAAACAACAGUGCCACAUACAAAAGAACUGUAACAAAUGUUGGGCAACCUACUAGUACUUAUGUGGCGCAGGUACAGGAGCCUGAUGGAGUAUCAGUCAUGGUUGAGCCUAGUGUCUUAAAGUUCAGAAAAUUCAAUCAGAGACUGAGUUAUAAGGUGAGCUUUGUUGCCAUGGGAGCAGCAUCAGCUUCAGUACCAAGUUCAUCUUUCGGAUCUCUUGUUUGGGUGUCUAAGAAGCAUAGGGUUAGAAGUCCUAUUGCAAUAACUUGGCAGUAGCCCUCCAUGAAAGCCUUCAUCUACAGAGAUUCCAAGCUUGAAUUCUAUUAUGUUAUGGAAAAUUAGAUGAAGAUCAGUACUCUUCAUUUUGUCCUAAUAGAAAUGUAGCAUUCAAUAAGAGACAUGGGACUUGAGCAUUGACCCAUGAUCAAUAUAAUGAAAAAGGGCAAGAGAAGUAAAGAUAAAGGUGUGUUUUACUAGAAAAAUAGUGAGAUAAUUGGAAUGUAAUCUUUACUUGGGAAAUGGAUCCUUCCUUAUUCCUCACUGGCAUUUUUUGACUAUGAAAACCAAGGAUUGGACACAAAACGCCCUUCAUUCUUAUAACAAUCACCAAAAUGCCACCCAUUGAUAUUUUGCCUUUUUUUUGUACAAUUGAUUGCAUUAUCAUUGGAGAGCAGGAUUCCCUGCUGCAAUCCCAUAGCAGUUACACUACUAACAUGAUCUUAACCGUACACGUGGGAGGCAAAAACAGAUCCAUACAGUCCAACUUUGAUCAUAUCUUCUUCUGAUAGGCCACUGAAUGCCUAGAACUAGAUCUAACGGCCAGGAAGAUUUGACCCAACAGCCCAGAUCAAAAGGUUCGUUUUCUAUACAAACAAAACCACACCUCAUUACACCUCUCCCCCCUUUCUCAGCGAUUCCAUCUCUGUAAUCAUUCAUCACCCGCUCGUAAGCUUCUUUUUUUAUUUCUACAGAAAUUUACUGAAAAGGGCUAGAUUUUUUUCUGAUUUGACUCUUCUGGGUCUGAUCCAAAACCACCCAACAAUAAGCGUGAACAGAGAUUUUUGGGGUUUGGCGAGUUAGGGCUUUGGGGUUGGACUCAGUAGCCGGAAGAGCUGAGUCACUCUGUUUCUUGUGUUUGAUAAGUGUGACUUGAGUCUAUGGAGGCUUAUAAGAAAUGGGUUAGGAGGAACAGGGACUAUGUUCACUCAUUAGAGUCUCUGGCUAAUGUAAGCCCCUUUCAACUUCUGCUAAUUUCGUUUGUCUUCUUUUGAUAUAAUUUUCAAUCAAUGGUGCUGUUUAUGUAUUUUUGUACGGUUUUUGUGCAUUUUUUCUCGUUUCUUUGAGCGAUGUGUCCGUUUGGAUUGAUGGGUUUUUAUUAAGCUUCUUUGUAUCAUUCAUGUUAAUUCUAGAACGGUGAAAAUCUGACAAAUAUUGGUAUUGAACUGUGUUUGGAUGUAUAAGUGAAGCUAUCUCAUACGAUUGUUGUAAAUUGCUAUGUGGAUGCUGUUAUUUUCUUGUUUGAACUGUGGCUUUGUGGGAUUUCCUUAUUCUUGUUUAUAUUUUUCAUGGUGGCUCAGAGAUGGUGAGCAUCUGAUAGAAUUUGAGCUUGAACUCUGUUUGGAUGUGCUGGUAAUGAUAUAUUGUCUGUGUAUUGUAAACUAUUGUUCAGGAUAUGUUGCUUACUUGAUUAUUGGACUGUUUUCUUCAUGAGGCUUCAUAGUGCUUACUGCUUUUUAUCAUCCAUGGUAAUUGAGAGAUGGUGAAAUUUGUGACCAAAACUCAGUUUUGAUCAAUGUUUUAGAAGGCUAAAGACAGUCUUCAGGCGAAUUGCCUAAAUGAGGUGUACAACUUAAACAAAUAAAAAAUGAAAAAUUAUCAAAAAAAAAAAAAA